UAGAACAGGGUGGGUACCGAAAAUGUGGUUGUCCAAGCUCUUGUUCUUCAUGUAGGCGUAUACCAGUAUACGCUCAUUGCCUUCGUUGCAGUAAGCUAGGAGGCGGAGAAGGCUACCGUGAUGGAGCCCGGCCAUCACUGCCACUUCUCUGGCGAAAUCCUUCUUGCCUUUGUUCGUCAGAGCUGACUGCUUUAGCCUCUUCACGGCUACCAUUCUCCCGUCAGAUUGUACUCCCUGGUCAUUUCCAAAUUUCAGGUGAUUGCAAUUGCAUUUUUGGCAUUUGCCAGUGUACGGUAUUAAGUAUUUGCAACUUAUGUUUAAUUUCUUUUUUCAUGAGGAUUAGUGCAACUUUCAUGUUACAUGUGUCUAUCUUCUGAAGAGAGAGGCUCACCUUAUAAACGGUGCUAAAUCCACCUUCACCAAUCAAGCAAUUUUCUGAGAAAUUUUCAGUAAUAGACUUUAUAGUAGCUAGAUUGACUGAAGCAACGCCCAUAGAAGGGUUAUCUGGAAUAACAUCUGUGGUAUUAGCAAUUUAGCAUACAGUUUGUUAGCUUAGAACUUCAUAAUAAAUAUCCUUAAGAUUAAAAGCCUGGAUUUACCUAAAAUUCCGUGAUUCUUUUUGCACCAAAUAGCCCAAACCCCAAAAGCGAUCAAAAGAAUAGCAAUGGUAGCAGCUACAGGUGGGACAACUAGUACAAUCAGAGACCUUUUGGUCUCAACUGUUACUCAGACAAAAAAAAAAAGACAUAGAGAGAGAUCAGUUCAUGCUCAGAAUUACUCCCUUCGCUGACUUUUCUAGUUAAAACUUCUUUAGAUUAAAUCAAAUUUAUAUAAAAAAUUAAAAGAGAUUGCGACAUCAAUUAGGUUCAUUAAAUAUAAUAUUAAAAUAUUUUGAUAAUAUGUUUAUUUGUAUUGAAAAUAUUGUUAUAUUUUUCUAUAAACUAAAUUAAACUUAAAAAAGUUUGAAUAGGAAAAAGAAAAGGUGAGAGUGACUUAUAUUCGAGAGAGUAUCAUAUGUCGGCAUUUCUUUUACGGUGACAUCAGGAUCGUUACUUUGUUAAAAAAAAGAACUGUUACUUUGACAUUUCUUUCGCUAAUCUUUUAUCUGGGGUCAUUUUCAUUCAAAAUAUAGGCUCGGAUUGAAACCCAUUUUCAUUAUUGUUUUAGAACAUAAUCUUUCAAGAUAAAAUUGAAAAUAAAGCAAUGCACAUACCAAAUUCAGACUUAGCCAAUCUCAGGUACAAAUCCUGCCCGCGGUCAACGUAGCGAAGAUCGACGAUGUCGUCCGUCCAAAUGACGCAGCCGCCGCCGUUGAUGUCGGCGGCGGCGUAGGCCACGCACGAGCAGUUUCCCAGGCACCUCCGCUCGCACUCCGCCGCCGUGGCGCCCAUGUCCACCGACGCGUUGCGCGUGUCUGGCAGCUUCACCCCCCGCACCACCUUGAACUUGUCCGUCGUCCUGCUCCCGCCGCCGCCGCCGGCGCAGUCCAGCGCCACGCCUCGCCGGCACCCACCGGAGGUGUUCCGCAACGCCCACGCCGACGGCGACGCGGCGGUGAACCCAUCCACGCAGCCGCAGAACGACGUCGCCGCGGCGUCGGCGUCGCACAGGCCGAACGGCCCGCACCGCGCGUAGCUGUCGCAGGGGUCCCUCGGGCCCUGGAAGAAUCGCUGCCAUGCCCGGCUGCUCGCGUCCCACACGAGGCGCUCGACCACGCCGGUGUAGUUCACCACGACGCGCGUCAAUGGCGCGGCGCCGGCCGUGGCGACCGAUCCGUAGCCGUAGGUCACCUCCCUCGCGCUGGACGUCACCUGCAGCGGGAACUUGUCGGAGUAGUUGGACGCCUCCGGGACGCCGUUGAAGAACCUGCCGUUCCACGGGCCCGUGCGGUACACCUUGGUGGCGCCGCCGCCGCCGCCGCCUCGCCACAGGACGAGCUCCGGUAGGCCGUCCGUGGCCAGCGUGCGGCGGUAGUCGCCCGGCGACGGGUCGUCAGCGGAGCGCCACGCCGUGAUGAACCACUCCUGCCCGCUCCACAGGCUCUUGCCCAUCUUCAUGCCGGGCAGCAGCGUGUCCGACGGCUGGUCGAACGACUGCCACAGGUAGGCGUCGCCGCCGCUGCCAUUGCGCACGACGAGGUUGCCGGAGUCGAGAAGCUGAACCACCGCGGCAGAGGCGGCCAAGAAGCUCGCGGACCACACCGUCCGGCGAGAGCCGCCGUCGAGCAGGACGAGCUGGCUGCCAUCGUCGUUGAGCAGCAGCACGCCGGACUUGCCGUCGAGGGGGCGGUCACGGUUGGCUACCCAGUAGACGGUGUCGCCGGACACGGUGAACCAUAUGCCGAGGUAUCUCUUGGUCGACUUCCCGGGAGAGAAGAACCCCAGAGUGUACGAGCCGCCGCCGGACGAGACGAGCGUCUGGCCGUCGGUGAGGUUCUGGCCCUUGUCGAGCUUGUCGGCGACGCCCGCGGCGGCGGCGGCCGACGUUUGGCCGGAGAGGAGGAAGAAGAAGGCGACCAGGCGGAGUAGGUUAGACGAUUGCCUGGUUGACCUCAUGACAAGGUCAAAAUGUCUCUAGCUCUUGUUGCAUGCAGAAAGGCUAGCUCAUGCAGCAGAUGGCCAUGAAGGAUGGUCAUGUAUACUGAUCAUAGGCAUUUCUGGAUAUUUGGAUUGGAAUAUUGGAUGAUAAACUAGUUAAUUCAGGUAGUCCGGAUCUGUCUAUUUAGAAUUUGAAAGAGGUACAUCAAAUCCCAUACGACAAUAUCUAAAUUCUCUCAAAGUCGUACUCCAACUAAUUGGCUGAAUUUAUUAAUUUGCACUCAAUUGGGUGUGAAAAAAUUGCUUAAAAAGUGCAGGUCAAUGUGACUGCUUCGUUCCAAAGAUUUCUUCGUCUUAGCACGACCUGUGGCUACACGUAACCAUGUAGCAGAGCUUUACAUUCUUUUGGCCUGAAAAAGGAAAUGGAGAAGCACAAUAUGCAUCCUAGUUAUCCAAUGGGUUAACACAAGGCAAAAGUCUCCCGUGCACGAUGUCUCACAAAUGACUUUUUACAGACACUCAAAUCCUACUCAAAAUAGCAAACAGAUUUGAUAACCGGUCACUAGGGCCUGUUUGGUUGCUACCCUGAAAAAAAUUUACCUGACCUGAGACUAGCCUGACUCGUUCUAGGCUCUGUUUGGUUGCUAGCCUGACACUCUUUUACUCAACACGGAGACGCGUGAUUAGCCUGAGUCAAAUCGGUGGCCUGAGCCUCAGGCGCAGCGAGGACAGAAGAUUACCAUCAUAAUCUGUUUCGGCAGCCAGCAGAAUGAAGCUGCCCUCCCGUGAAGCUCUGAUGCCGCCACUGCGUGAAGCCCUUGCCUGGCUGCCUCCGCCGCCGUAGCUAUCGCCGCCGAGUGAAGUCCAUGCCACCGUCGCCUUCGUCUACGCGAAAGCCCCUGCUGCCGUCGCCGGCGUGCGACACCAGAUUUAUCCCGUCGUCUUUCGCGGCGGCUGUCGAUUCUUCGGAUCCCGUCGUUGUUGCAACAUCUUGGCGCGAAGCUUCAGCCAAUGCUGUGAUUCUUUUCGCUCCUGUCGUUGUUGCCGAUUGAAGCUUGCCGACUGCUGCUUGGAUUUGGGGAUAUUUUUAAUCCUUGUACUCCUUUGGUUUCCCUUUUUUUAUGUAUGUGAUUAAUUGCUAUUGGAAAGCUACGAUUUCAGUUGGAACUGUCAAGCAAUCUCGCCGAAAUUUGCGUCUUCUUGUUUAGCACUUAACUUACUAGUGAAUUAUCAGACCCAAAUCACUUUUUCCCUUCUCAGGCAGCGGCGGCAAACCAAACAAGCAAAAGUUCAGGCCGCCUGGCCAGGUAACAUUCAAGAACUUCUCAGAAGCAUGGUGCUCAGGGCAUCAACCAAACAGGCCCACAACAGGAGGAUAAAUUUCCUGGUGUUGCAUACCCUGAUACCCAGAUGUAUAAACAAACGGCAUUCCAAUUCCCAAAUACGCUUACAGUUCCACAUAUUACAAGCAAACCUAUAUACAAAAAUAAUAACAGGUUUAUUACUAGGUUAACAACAAACAAACAGGGAAAAUGAGAGACACCAACUUCAGUAAUCCAGGUUGGCAAGUUGAACAAGAGAUUCAGAGGCACUGACAAGGAGCUAUCUGCCUUGCAAUUGAGUAUACGUCAACUGAUUCCCCGAUCCAGUAUUGUUAUCAUCCAGAGGAACCCUUCCGACGAAAAAUGCAGCUUGCUUCGGAGCAGGAAGUGUAACAUCCCCACUGAGCAUCCUGAGCACCAGGGGCAUGCUUGGCCUAUCACCUGGUAAUUCCUGCACGCACAGAAGACCAACCUGGAUGCAUCUGCAUACUUCAUCGUAAGAGCAUAUGGUGCCCAUGAGUGGAUCGAUCAGCUCCGAGACACUGCCUUCCUUCCACAGUGUCCACGCCUGAAAUGGGUACAGUGAAUUAGAAGAUGCCAAUCAUAAAACGUGUAUUGAUUACCAUAUAGUUUGCCAUUUAACUGGAAAAUGACAAGGGGAAGAAGAUAGUAUCAUCUUACGUAACCCAAGAGAUUCAUUGACCAUUCUUCAUCAACAAAUGAGCUGUUCCUUCGUCCGCUCACAAUCUCUAGGAUCAACACGCCGAAACUGAAGAUGUCUGAUUUCUCAGAGAAUUUGCCCUCCAUUGCGUACUCUGGAGAGAUGUAGCCACUGCAUCUCACAGAUUUUAGCACAUUUAGUUUGCCUUCUAGGACAUCUCGUAAUGUCAACUAGCAGGUGGAUUUUGUUAUGAUCUAAAUAAUGUAGUAAAAUCAUAGAGUUAAUGAUGCAAGAAGAAAGCAGUAGUUUAGUGAGGCAGGUCAGUACAGUUAAGAGUUGGAUCGUAGAAUUUUUGUUCAAUUUUACUCUAGUGAACAAAAGUGAAAAAGAGCCUUACUAGGUUCCAACAAUUCGGUGGGUAAGGGCUUGAAGUUGGUGUUCACCAAAUAUUCUAGCCAUACCAAAGUCAGAUAUCUUGGGGUUGAAAUCAUCAUCAAGCAGAAUAUUGCUCGCUUUGAGAUCCCUGUGAAUAAUUUUGAGCCUGGAAUCCUGAUGAAGGUACAAUAAUCCUCUCCCAAUUCCCUGAAUAAUCUUGUAUCGCAAUUUCCAUCCAAAUAUUAGCCUCUUACUUUCAUCUAAUAAGAUUCACAUGAAAGCACCAAAUUAGCAGACAAGUUCAGUUACUGGCUUACAUCUAAACAAAAUCAGAACGUCAGGAUUUGCAGGAAUCAAACUAAACGUUACCAAAAAUAAAUGAGUCAAGGCUCUUGUUGGGCAUGUAUUCAUACAGCAACAUCUUCUCUUCUCCAUGAACACAACAACCAAAGAGCCUAACCAAAUUCCGGUGUUGCAGUUUGGAUAGAACUAUCACCUCGUUCUUGAACUCUUCCAAUCCCUGACUGGAUCUGUUUGACAGCCUCUUGACAGCAAUCUCCUGGCCAUCAGGUAGUACCCCCUAGAAGUAAUAUCAACUAUGUUGGUUCAGGUAUUGAUCUUAUAGCAUUACGAUUUUGAAUUCCAGGUCAGAACAAAGAUAGUAAAAACAACAAUUUCAUUCAUAUUAACAAGAUAGGAUAAAAUGAUAAAAUGUUUAAAUGACCAUACCUUGUAAACAAAACCAAAUCCGCCUCCACCAAGCUUGUUGCUAAAAUUAUUUGUUGCUGAAUAAAUCGUGCUAAACUCAACUAGUGGUGAGCUUAGAACUGCGGAUUUCACUGAAUCACUUCUGAAUAUAGCUUCAUCUGCAGGUGGUCCAGCUUCUUUUGUGAUCAGCCGUGGUGCUUGUAUUCUCCUUAUGCCUGCAGAUUAGUAAAAAUAUUAGAUAUAAACCUACCAGACAGCUGUUAACGCAAACUGAACUAUAUCAGCAAUCUCUAAGACUAAGAGAUAACUGUCAUGAAAUUAUGUUUGGCCGUAGAAUAUUAUGAAGUCUUAGCCUUGUAUAUUCAUAAUCUGAACAAUGGCAUGUAUCAUACAAAUUAUUCCUCUAAAUCAUACAACAGAAAGAAACACUAAUGACAUCGUAGAAGGAAUCCAAAUACAUGUGAAGAAGUCAGUAAUAAAAAUAUUACCCAUUUGCUUUAUGACAAAUUUCUUCAGGCAUCCAAACACACAGAAAUGCAUGAGCAUGAUGCCGAUAAGGAAGAUGGCAGUAUCAGCGCUCACUAAGACAAUUGAGCAUUUAUGCUUUGCCUAGAGGAAUGCAUGUCAACAUCGAAAUUUCGUGGAUUUGCAAGAUAAUAUGUUGUCAAUGCUCCGUUCUUAUCAAACAGAACAACUGGUCAACAAGAUUGGUAGAAUGACAAAUAAAAACUGAUAAAUUUAUAAGACAAUGGAACGUGAUGUAUUAGACACUGUUAUCCUUCGCUUGACCACUUCAACCAUUCCAUGUUCUUGACAAGUUCAGUAUUUGUUGACGAGAUCAUGAAUAAACAAUCUUAGGAUGUCACUAUCUGACCAUGCCACCUCCUAGCUUUGCUUAGGAGUUAGGACAGGAGCGAAGAAGGCAAUGCAUUUUUUUCAUAGAGCAAUGCUUUUCGUUGGCAAGUGGCAACAAAUUAACAGCAGCCGGAGAAAUCUCGGGACAGUCUAGCAUGGACCAAGUGCUGAAAAAAAAAUGAAAAUUGAGACGCGGAAAUGUACGUCCUUGCAGAUUAUCAGAUUAGUCAACAUAUGCGGCGAAUAACUAAAAUUUCUAACUAUCUUCCCGAUCCCUAACUCACAAUCCCUGUAGAUUGUCUAUACGGGUAUAGGUGGGAACAGGAUGGAACUGGGAUUAAAUUUUUGCGGGACCUAACAACCCAGAAAUUUCUUCAUUCAUGCAGGCAGGAUGACAUUUCGUGCAUUCCUAUACCAAAAAUAUCGCUUAAAAUCUGAGGUGAAAUAAGGGAGGAGUAGUACGUAGUUACUGAUUCUGGGUCGCCUUUCCGAGCAAGGGAAACGCAGAUCGCCGAGGAUAAGAUGGGGAGAUCUUCACGGUGGAGAGGAUCUGGGCGGCCGACCCAUCGCGCCUACGGCCGGCGGGUCCCCCCCCCCCCUUCCAUCGCCGGCCAGACCGCCGGCGGCUUCGGCCUCGUCGCCUCCGCCGUCGCCGCGGCACACCACCUCGCCGGCAGCGAAUCCCCUCCCCUGGAGGCCAGUCCGACUAAUGGGCUUUGCCGUUAGCGGCCUAUACCGUAAGCAGGCCAGAUCUAGUUGUCACAUGCGGAAAGAAUAAAUUCACUUUAGGUCCCUCUAUUUGUCGUACAGUCUGAUUUUUGUCUCUGAAGUGUAAAACCGGAUACAACAUAUCCCCCAACUUAUAAAACCAGCGCACAUAAGGUCAGGUCCUAAGGUGGUUUGGAUAGCAGUUUUGGCUGACGUGGCGCCUACGUGGCUGGUUUGACUAGGUCUCCGUCCCACGUGGCAUUGACGUGGCACUUACGUAGCAAUUAUAUCUCAAAAAAUAAUAAAAACAGCGGGCCCACAUGUCAACUACACAAAAAAAAUUAAUUUAGAAAUGGUGGGGCCCACGGUGGCCCACAUGUCAACUACACAACAAAAUAAAUAUGGUGGGGCCCACGUGGACCCCGUAUGUAGGCUGUAGCAAUUUCUUUCUCCUCUCUAUACCCUUCUCCCCUACCUUCCCAUAUCAGCCAUUGCCGUCGACGAAGAAGCUUCGCGUGGGUGGUAGAGCGGGGCGGAGUGAGGGGCGGCGGCGCGGCGGAUCCUCGCGACCACGUACGGCUUCGUCUUGACGGCACCGACGACGCGGAACCGGUCGCCGCCGACGUACCCCACCUCGCCGGCGCACCCCGCCCCCACUCCGCGCGGGCCGCCGCCGCCGGAGUACACGACGCCGAUCCUGGAGCCACGUGUGCACCAUGGUCCGGUUCCUGAACUCGAACGCCUGGAGCUGCACCGUCGCGCCGGGAAGACCACUGACGGGAACAGCACGAUGGGGAUCUCCGCCGCUUGCUCCUGCCGCGGCGCCCUCGUCCACGCAGCCGUGCAGGUUGCUGCCGCCCCUGCAUGUUUCCCAUCAAACGUGUACUAGCAACUACAACCAGCAACACCAUGGAUUGUUAGUUGAGAUGAUCACAUCUUCCAUAUAUAUCAUAUCAGUUAUCCCCAGCUCCUAGGUUUUUUCUCCAGCUAUGAUCAAUGAUUCAAACGAGUACACUUUGUCCGAUCCACAGGUCUGAAUAUUCCAUCCGCAGAGAAUUCUGAGACGACGACGACGAAGAAGCUAGAUGGAACUUGCAGAGUCUUGAGCGCCGUGGUCUCCUCCUCCUCCUCCGCGGCAGCGGCGGCGGGCUGCCUCGAGCUCCCGUCCACGUGCGGCUGCGACUCGGCGGGCGGCGGAGCCAAGCGGAGGGCGCCAGCCUCGUCGUCGUCGUCUUCCGGCACGAAGCCGGCGGGGCGGGGCGGAGCGGGGGGCGGAUGGCAGCGCGAAGCCGACGGGAUGGACUGGGGCAGCGACGGGCGGACGCGCGGGCGGAGUCUUCUUGAGGUCGUCGUCCCCGGCGCCGCCGUGACCGUGGCCGGAGAGGGGAGAUGGGGAGAGGGGAGGAAGAAGAGGUAGGGGUGAGUGACAUGCGGGGCCCACGUGGGCCCCACCAUUUUUUAUUACUUUAUGUCUAAAACUGACAUGUGGGUCCCAUGGGGUUUAAUAUUUUUUCAUAUCAAGUUGCCACGUCACCACCAUGUCAAUGCCACGUGAGACAAGGAGCUAGUCAAAGGGAGCCACGUAGGUGCCACAUCAUUUAAAACCGGGCACAAUACUGCCGAGGGACUUUUUCUGCAUGGUUUUGUAAGUUGAGAGAUGAGUUGUAUCUGGUUUUGCGACCAAAGGAUAGAAAUAGGACUGGACGACAGAUAAAGGGACCCAAGUGAACUUAUUCCCAUGCGGAACAACCUACAAUCCGGCUUCAUUUAGAAUGGGCCUCAAUUCAAGCCCAUUUAUCUGUAUGGGCUAGAAUUUAAGUUCAAAUCCUCAUCCUUUUCACGCUUGAUUGGGCUGGGAUUAAGGCCCAUUUAUACACGGCCACCAUGCUUCUUUUUACCAACGAACGAACUGUCGCAUUCAAAAGAAGAGAAAACACCCCCCCUUCUUCUUUCUCCUUGACGUCAUGUCAGUGAACUUGUUUUCCUUUCCCUCCUUCAAAAACCAUGUAAGCAAAUCCAGGAGAGAAAAAAAUAAAGAUCUAGACAUCGGACGGCACUAUCCAAGUUUACCACAUCCUGCGGGCAGAGCUCGCGUCACUGCCGUCACACCGUAGGGAGUUUAACGCGCCUAAGCAUCCACACCCCUCGCCGGGCGUCCGCAUCAACGCUGCUGCUCCCGUCGCCGUGCCACCCACUCCACCAUCAGUCCAUCACAUAUUCUCUCGUCCUAUCUCUGAUGGCGCUGUCCACAUGCGCCACCGUGGCACGCGCCGCGCCGCGCCGCGUCAGGCGUCCGUCAGCGGGUGGAAACCCACCGGUAAUGAGAACGAACGCCACCGCGACCACACACAGAACCCGCUCGGAAACACAAACAUCGGCGUUGAACGCGCGACGAAUUCCAACGCGAGAACGCGCCCAAAACCGCAAAGCAGCCGAGCUUCUCUCGCGCGCGCACCAACCGCCGCCCGUGCCCGGUGCUCCCCCCACUCACGGCACUACAACAGGAAUACCCCUCCACCAACGUAUAGGCUGCAACGGAAGUGAUAAUCGUUGUUAAGCAUCCGCUUUCAACCACUCGGCCACGCCCAGCGACCCAAGUCAACAGAAACGCAACCAACCAUUAUCUUUUCCUGAAAAACCUCCCCUCACAAUCCUCGCCCGAUCGAAAAGGAUCGUGAUCCCAGAUCGCUGCCGUGUCAAUGCUGCGCCGCCCCGGCCCGAGCACCGCCGCCUCGUCCCUGCCCUGACCCCGCCGCAUCCUCCAGUUCUGCCGUCGACGCUGCGCCGCCUCGACCCGCAUGUCGCCGCUUUAUCCUCUCCCGUGCUGCGCCGACGGCUGACCGGCACGCCGCCGCCUCAUUGCCCCGAUCGCGAUGGCCCCUGAAUCCCCUGACCCUGUUGCCUGGACCGCCACAUCGUGCUCCAUCUCGUCCGCUGCUGUUCUCAGCUGAUCUGGUAUGUGAUUGCGGCUUCUAAUGUACGAAUUAUCAUUAUUCCCUGACGUGGACUGUUGUGUGCUCUAGAUACUUCGUUAAUUUUGCAAGAAACACACCUAAAUCCUGUAGAGCUUUAUAUCUGCGAUAGGCAAGUAAUGAUGCCCUCUUUCUCUGCAGGUUGAUCCCUAGUGACUUAGUUAUUAGUUAUUGAUCAUGCCCCAAGUUUCUCGAUGGAAUUGCAAUGUAAGCUAAGUGAUUAGUGAAUCUUGUGGCUAUUUUUCUGCUCUGGUAUGUGGUAAUGACAUGAACCAUGCCUUUUUUAUUAACUUUAUCAUUAUACAGUGCAGAGUAACCAUAAAAAGAUAUAAAGUUCAUAGCUCAGAUUGUCGACUUUUUUUAAUUAGUUUAAGUUAUGUUUUGCCAAUUACUACCUGCUACCAGAUACAUAAAUUUAACAUGUGGACAGUUGUUUGUUGCUGUUCUAUCAUCUAAAAGAUGAGUGUAUUCAUGCCACAGAAAUAUUCUGCUUUUCUUAUGUCCAAGUUCCAUUUAUUUCAGUGUGAAGAAUUAUUAGCAGAGAAUUCUUAACCAGGGAUGGUUCCAAAGAUGCUUGGCACAAAAAUUUAGCCAUUGGUGAAAGCAAAUAAUUUGAUCCAAAGAGUAACUCUGGCUGUUAAGUGACAAAUUGAGAUCUCAUUCUGCUACAUGAACAAUGGUAAGAUUUACUAGGAAUAUGUCAUUGCAGUUUAAUUGUCGUGGUGUAUAAGUUAUCCCUUUGUGUUCUUAUCUGAGCUAUAUAAACUAAUAGAAACAUUGGCAUUUAAUUAGAAAUACCUGGAAUCAUUUCCAAUUGUGUAUAGCAGUUUUGGGCUAUCUUGUUGAUAGUUUGUGCAAUUUUUUGACAGGGAAAGCCAACCCAUACUUCGGAUUUUUUCCAAGCUGUAAUGGGAUGUUAAAUGUUCAUUUCCAUUACAUAUCUUUUCCUGUAAUCCAGUGACAUCUAUUUUAUGGUGAAGUGUUGCCUUGAGGAUGAUGGGAUAGAGGAAGAAGAAAUUGCUAAGGAGAAGAUAUUGUUGUUGCUGCCAAGUGCCCAAGUUACAGAAACUAAUGUUGAUCUGGUCACAGAGAAAAUUCAAGAUGAUGUUUUUUUUUUUUGCAAGAUUCAACAUAUGUUUGUACUACACUCACUAAUAUGCUGUGGUGUAUACACAAGUUGUACUUAUAAGAGAUUUGUGAAUUAAUAUAUUGUGAUUUUUUUCUUAUAGUACUUAUGAGUUUUUCUUGUCCAAAUGGAACCUAUAUAAGAUCGUAGUGUAAAUUAUUAAUUACAAAUUGGCAAGUAAGUAAUAUGUAUUUGGUAAAUGUGAACAGUAUCUUCCAGUUGCAUCCUAUUGCUCACUUACAACAGUUAUUUAUGUCGUUACCAACGCUUAUGUAUGUAUGGCUAUAGAUCGUAGCAACGUAUAGACCUUAGCAACGCCGGCAUAGGCAACACAUAGUCAAUGUGUUGCUAUUGGACCUUACAACGCUUAUUUAGACCUUUAGCCACACAUAUAUUCGCUGCUAGAGGGGGGUUCCUCUUGUAGUGUUCCGGCGAAAAGAAAAUCUACAGAAGCACAGAUUCUCGCGUCGCCUAGCGACUAGCGAGACUGCUAAGCUAGAGUGGUUGGCCUUAAUCAAAUACUGCUACUGUCCAACUUGCGGUUCGGCUCAUGUGAUUGGUCGUCGCGUGUUCAUUCGCGCACGAGUUCAAUACUUGUAUUACUGCACUGAUCAGUUCUAGAUGCAUACAUGGUUGGUAUUUGGCAUCUCUGAAAAUUGGACUUAGGAUUGGAUUUACGUUAGACUUGUGAGGGCAUUGAAUUGAACAUGUAGAGACAGACGAGAGGAAGGAGUAGUUGCGUUGGCGCCUAAUCCGUUUGUCGACAGAAGGAAAUAAGCAGCAAAUAUAUAGAAUGUUCAAAUGCAGGUUCUAACGCUUGGGAAACUUCUGUGUUUGGUCAACUCGUCUUUCUUAAUGGGUGAUGGAAAAUAUCUUAACCGUGUCAGCAACACGGCAACUUCUCUAGAAUCUAGAUUCCCAUGCAAAAAUGAACUAUUUUUUCUACUCUAAACAAAUCUGAAGCCCUCGACCACAUAAACAGGUCUGAAUAAUAUAACCUUAAAUCUGAUGAAAUCGAUCUUUGCUCACUGUAAUCUGCUCACUAACCUGAAUACAGUGAUGCACGCAAAGGCAAAAAAGUAUAAAUAAAAAGCCAGAAAAGUCAGAAGCAUCUGUCAUCAUGGCCUCAUGGGUGCCAAUGGAUGAUGCAGAUCUGGGACAGAUGAGACGACAAUUGGGCAAUAAUGCCCAACUCCAACUCCAUGUAGAGAAGGAAAUUUCGAACGGAGGUCGCUUUCUAUAUUUCUCUUGUCCUCUUCUUCUCCCCUUCGUCCUCGCUACCAUCGCCCUAUUAAUAUUCCUCAAAAUCCAAAUUUGAGACAACCCGAAUUCAGUCCUCAGCGAGUCGGAAACGCGCCGAAAGACGAACUGGAGGCGCCCCCCCAAAUCUUGAGAUCGCAGGUAAUGUCCAUAGGCGCCGAGCUUCAUGAGUCCUCCUGCGAGGGAUCUUGUCUUGAGGUUUCUUGCAUAUUGGCCUGUGCAUUUUGAGUUUUGAUGUGCUUGCUGCUGAUCCGAAUUCCAUCUCCGUUGUUGCCGUAAGAUUCUGAAUCGAAUUCAUGCAUUUGUACGGCAGAUUUUUUUUUCCCCCGCUAGAUCCGUAUGGUGUGGUUAUUUGGGCGAUGAUAGUAUGGGUCCAAGAAACGCGGUUUUCCCUGUGAAUUGAGGAUCUCCAAUUUGCUUCUUUGGCUUCGGUCCAUGGCAGUUGUGUUCUCCAAUCCCAUGGUUCAUGCUAGACGCUUCCUGCAGACAGGACUAGACAUUUUCAGUUUUGGUAACUGUGAAGAUUAUGGCAUUGUUUUACCAAGAGAAACUGCUGCAUUGUGAUAUGUAAAAAAUUACCCUUUUUUUCCUUCUCUUUUAGUAGAAUUAUUACGGAACAUGCUUCGCUUGGCGUCUGUAUCGAUCUACGUUCUUUAUUCUAAAAGGCUGUGCUUUUUUGUGAGCAUUGUCAUCCUUUUUUUUUUCCUUUCAACUCCUUCUGUUCAUUUAAUGAACAAUUCCGUUCUUUCUGGUGUUGAUACUGCCACGUUUUACUGAUUUUCCAUUAUUUUAUUAAUUCCUACUUGACAAGAUUCUUAUCGAACAAUUAUUGUGAAUCUUUUAGUAGGAAUCUCGUAAAGCGCCAGUGUCGCAUUUUCCUUUGAGGAUCUGAUUUUUCCCAUCAAGCAAUGGUGGGAUAGCCAGUAGUAAAAUUUAGGCUUUCAGGCUCACUCCACAUCAGAAAAUUUUCUACUUACAUACUAUCGUUUGUAGAACAAUCGUGGAAGUUUAUGCCCUUGCUCAAAAAAAAAAAAAGAACAAUCGUGGAAGUGGAAAAAGGGUUCCGUGAAGCGCAUAGAUCAAUAAUGUCUAAUCUCUUUUCACUCAUAAAAAUGUUUUGCAGGAUGGAUGGACAUACAAAUGGCACUAAUGGUUCCUGCUCUAAGCCAUGCGAGCCAUUAACAGACUACUGCAUCCCUGAUUACAUUCUGAAUCCUGACUCUGAACAAGUCCUCGUUGAUCAGGCACCAUGUUGCCCUGUAGUAGUAUUCAUCAACUCUAGAAGUGGCGGCCAACUCGGAAGCAGUUUGAUCAAAACGUAUCGUGAGCUUCUCAAUAAAGCGCAGGUACCUAAUCUAGUAGUUUGGGAAGAUGGAAUGCUGAAAAGAUUCCCUUGAGCCAUAGUAGGACUUCAUAUCAUUCUCUCAUAUUAUCUCAUAUUUGGAUCCACAAUUUUUACAGGUUUUUGAUUUAUCAGAAGAGGCUCCUGAAAAGGUGCUUCACAGAUUGUAUUGCAACUUUGAGAAGCUCAAGUCUAAUGGCGACCCUAUUGCUUUUCAAAUUCAGAGCAACCUAAGACUAAUUGUGAGUAGCCUAACUAGAAAACAUAAAGAAUGAUCUUUUUGCUUUAGGAUAUGUCCUCUUAACUAAUGAUCUUUGAAAUAGGUUGCUGGUGGUGAUGGCACAGCAAGUUGGCUGCUUGGUGUAGUUAGUGACCUUAAGCUCUCUCACCCACCUCCUAUUGCAACUGUGCCUCUGGGAACUGGAAACAACCUUCCAUUCUCAUUUGGAUGGGUAUGUCUAUGACUAUUGUUUUGUUCCAACACAUAUAUUCUCUUCAGUUGUGAUAAUCUCCUCCCUUUAGAUAAUUCACGCUUGUUGUGAAUUUGUGAUCAUAUACGAGCUGUUUUUGUUGUUGAGCUGUUUGACAACAUAAGAAGGUUUAGCAUUAAGAAACAUGCAUUUUUGAAUUAAUAGUGAAAUAGUGAUCAUACGCUUGAUACCUAAAUUUUAUGUCUUAUUGACUGUGAGCUGUGAGGGGUGCAUGAUUUUUCAUUCUAAAGUAGAAGAUUACUGAAUCUGAGAUUUUCUUGUUAGUUUGAUCUGGAUUCCUUGGCCGUCUUUUUACCUAGUCUGCAUAAUCUGCAGCCAUGAUCUCUGAAUCUUCCCUGGCAUCUAGUUUUAUACCUCUAUUAAAUUUAAUUUGACUGCAGGGGAAGAAGAACCCAACCACUGACCAAGAGGCGGUGAAAUCAUUUCUUGGACAAGUUAAAAAAGCAAGAGAAAUGAAUAUUGAUAGGUAAUAUCUCAAGCACACAAUGUUAUAUUUGUUUCUGUUUUUUCUGUCAUGCUUGUGAAAAGUACAAGUCCUGCCCAAUAAUUCACUGCGACAGCUCUUUCAUAUAUGUUGUGUAGCAGUCAUUUUUAGUUUUAAACAUGAGUAAAAUGUAAUCCCUUAUAUAUUCUGCAUAUGAAAGAAAACACUCAUUUGAAUGUACUUUUUUAAGUUGGCAUAUCAUCAUGAGGAUGCGAGCUCCACAGGAAGGUCCAUGUGAACCUAUUGCUCCGUUAGAGCUGCCUCACUCAUUGCAUGCAUUCCACCGUGUAUCAGGAAGCGAUUCACUUAAUAUGGUAAGACAACUCACUGUGGAUACUGUUUUUACUUGAUUCUUUCUAUUACAGAAGUAGUAGCCAAUAGCCAUGGACUUUCACUUUUGAAUAGUAUGGACAAUUGGACAGGCUGAGAACUGAAUAUAUAGAUCUUUAAGCUUGCUUAGCAGUUUUUUCUUUUAUAUUUUUGUUCAGGAGGGCUACCACACAUACCGUGGAGGAUUUUGGAAUUACUUUAGUAUGGGUAAGAGUUCCUCUGGUAUCCAAGGCACAGCAUGAUGUUUUUUUUUUUUUUUGGUUUAUGCUAGUUCUUGCUCUAACAGAUAUCAAACAGUCACCGUUGUUAUCCAGUACCUUUUAAUCAGGACUUGUUAACAAUAUUAUCGUAGAACAUAUUUUAGUAUCUUUUAAGCAUAUCAUGAUUAAUAAGGCAGUAAUAGAAACAUGGUCAUCAUGACUUCACAUACUGCAGGGAUGGAUGCACAAGUGUCUUACGAAUUUCACUCUGAGAGGAAGAGAAAUCCCGAGAAGUUCAAGAACCAGCUAACAAAUCAGGUUCUUCUCGUUUCUGUAGGGCAAGUCUUGUGGCACAUUUCAUUUUGUUUAUGCUGAAUGUUGUGAUGCAUUUCUUUGAUGCAGAGUACAUAUGCUAAGCUUGGACUUAAACAAGGAUGGUUUGCUGCUUCACUAACUCACCCAUCCUCGAGGUAGCCUGUCACUAAUGCAACCAUGAUGCCCCUGAUAUUGAUCAAAUUAUCCUCAUUGAUCGGUGUUAGCAUUUCAAGUACCACGCUUAGCUAUUAUAUGCCUUUACGUCGGAUAUGCAUGACGUGUACAGCUCCCAUUUUCAGGAACAUUGCUCAACUUGCAAAGGUGCGGAUCAUGAAAAGACCUGGUGGCCAAUGGGAAGAGCUUAAGAUUCCUCGCAGGUAAAUAAAUCCUUGCUUCCUUUGCAGUGUAUUUGUACAAGGCAAUUUCCAUUUUGCUUCAUCUAAAAUGUCUGGUUCUUCCAAAAUCCCAACCCCAUUUUCCAUCUCCAAGUUUCUUAGACACAUUUCUAGAAUGUUAUCAUCACCACAGAAUGUAGCUAUGAAAAUCAACAUAUAUUCCCUCUAUUGUUUCAGCAUUCGAUCAAUCGUCUGUCUGAAUCUGCCAAGUUUUUCUGGAGGACUGAAUCCUUGGGGAACACCUGGCACCAGGAAAGUACAAGAUGUAAGUAGAGCACUUGCCUCUUCUGUUGUCGUUUCACUCCUAAUGGCUUUGCCAUGGGCAAAGAAUUUAUAAGUUUUCAUGGCAAUAUGCAGAGAGACCUGACUGCACCAUUUGUCGACGACGGCCUUAUCGAGGUUGUCGGCUUUCGCGAUGCCUGGCACGGUCUUGUCUUGCUUGCCCCUAAUGGCCAUGGAACUCGUCUAGCACAGGUGAUGCAUCUGUUCUCAACCCAUUUCCUGAACUCCCUACAUUUCAGCUAGCAUUGCUGAUGCAGUCACACAUUUCACAUUUUUCAGGCCCAUAGAAUCCGGUUCGAGUUCCACAAAGGAGCAGCCGAGCACACGUUCAUGAGGAUCGAUGGGGAGCCAUGGAAGCAGCCUCUUCCCAAGGACGAUGACACCGUGGUCGUCGAGAUCUCUCACCUCCGUCAGGUCACCAUGCUCGCCAGCGACCCGUGCAAGUCGAAGAGCGUCAACGACCCCUCGUCGCCGAUGUGCUGUAGCAACCACGACGACGACGAGCGCAACAGCUUGGAGGACGAAGAUGAGUGGGAGGAGGGGAGGAAGAAGUUUGGUGCAGCUGAUACGUUCAAGUUCCCUGAUGAGGUUGAUGUUGCUCACCUUAGCUGAGCUAUAAGUGAUUCAGAGUUCAGAUUUCAGAAUGUUCGCUACUACUGUUAGCGAUACUGCCUUUUUGGGGGUUUAUAUAUACUACUAGUUUAUUAGUUAUCAGCCCUGUGUAGAUUCGACCGGCUGUAUUCGAGAACUGCAAAAUUUUCCGAGUAAUGUCAUAUUUUCAUGCAACGCAAUUGGUCUAUUCCCAGAAAAUCAUGUCCCAAAACAAACUUCUUGUCCUGAACCCUCUGUAUAGGUUUGCUAGCGUAAAUUACUCAUUUUUUGCGGGGAAGUGUAAAUUACUCAUGUCAAGCUGCUUUUUACUUGAAAAAACGGUCCAUUUUACUUACCCGAACUUGUUCACUUAACAUUUAAACUAUUUGUUUUCUCAUUUUACCCCCCUUAAAUUAUUAAAAACUAGCUGGGUGGCCCGUGCAAUUGCACGGCUAGCACCCAUAUAAAAUUAUAUAUUUUUAAUAUGAUUUUACUUAAAAUUUAUUAAAUAGUUAUUUCGAUGUCUUAAGAUUUUGAAAAACCAAACCUUAUCAUCCUCGUGUUUCUAAUUUUAUAGUUUUUAAAAGUCACACCAGUUGCUACCCCUUACUUCUAUCAUAUUAUUCUUUAUUAGUUUGCUUGAUCUACCACUUGAUCUACCACUGUUUCUAUUUAUUCUCCUUGGAACCUUUAAAAAUUGGAUCUAAACUAUAGAGUUUAUCGUCCUGUUAGGCUUCAUUUUUAUAAUUUCUAUAAGUCCCGUCAAACGUUACCAUUAUACUCCUCUACAACCGUCCACUACAUACCUUAUCAUUCUCGUGUUUCUAAUGCUAUAGUUUUUAAAAGUCACACCAGUUACUACCCCUUACUUCUGUCAUAUUAUUCUUUAUUAGCUUACUCGAUCUACCAAUGUUUCUAUUCAUUCUCCUUGGAGCUUUUAAAAAUUAGAUCUAAAAACUAUAAAGUUUAUUGUCAUGUUAGGCUUCUUUUUUAUAAUUUCUACAAGUCCCGUCAAAAGCUGCCAUUAUACUCCUCUACAACCAUCCACUGCAUGUUCUUUUUAUUGUCGUUGCUAUUUUUAAAAUCGAACAUAAUUAUCGUUUAGGUUCAUUUUUUUACUUUUUAGAAGUUCCGUCAAAACGUUAGCGACUUUGUCACUGUACUCCUAUACGGCUCGCCCGCUGCCACUCUUAUUUAUUAUCAUUGAGAUUUAAAAAUCAAACAUGAUUAUCAUUGAGGUUUUUUAUUUUUACUUUUUGAAGCCCGAACCUUUAAAAAUUUAACCUUAUAGUUUUUAAAGUUUAUUGUCUCGUUGGGUUUCAUGUUUUUUUUAUAAUUUUUAGAAAUCCCGUCAAACGCUACCACCAUACUUCUCUACGACCCGUCCGCCGCAUACUCUUUAUUGUAAUUGGGAUUAUAAAAAUCUAACAUAACUAUCGUUGGAAUUCAUUUUUUUACUUUCUAAAAGACCCACCAACCAUCGGCGGGUCUGCCAUUGUACUCCUAUACGACCCUCCCGCCGCCUCUCAUUUUUAUUGUAAUUAAGAUUUUAAAAAUCAAAUAUGAUUAUCAUUGGGGUUUAUUUUUUUACUUUCUUGAAGUCAUCGCCAACCGCCUUGAAUCGAUUGCUUCACGACCUGCCAGUCGUCUUUCCUUUUAAUCGUCAUUAGGAUUCUAUUUGGUGUUUUAUUAAUAGUUUUAGAUGUCUCAUCAACAGCCACCACUCUGCUCCUCUAGAGGUCUGUUACUUAAAUAAUCUUGUCAUUUGUUUUAGAUGGUAUUUUCUUUCAAUAGUUUUUUAUCACUAAUUUUAGUUAUUUAUAAAUUGUAUUCCCAGUUGAAAUCUUAUUUUUAUUUUUCUAAUUUUAGAAUUUAUUUUAUUUUUUGAAUUGUGUUCUUUUGAUAUUUUUAUUUUUUUUAUUUUCAAUUUCAGUUGUUUCAAAACUAUAUUCCUACUUUAACUCUAUUUUUAAUUUUCCUAAUUUUGGAUUUAUAUUAUUUUUUAUUCCGAAUUUUAAUUAAUCUACUAUUGGGUUCUUAUAUGUAGUCAUGAAAUAAUGCUUAUAUUUAAAUUCCGAAUUUAAGUUAAUGUUAAAUUAUAUUCCUACUUGAACUCUUAUUUUCUUUUCUUUUUUUUAAUUUCAAUUUUUUAUUCCGAAUUUUAAUUAAUUUUGUAUUGGAUUCUUGUAUGGACUCUUCUUUCAAUAUUCUUUAUUUUUAAUUCCAAAUUUCAGUUAUUUUUAAAUUGUAUUUCUACUCGAACUUUUAUUUUUUACUCUUUCUAUUUUCAAAAUUUAUUUUAUUUUUAUUCCGAAUUUUAAUUAAUCAUGUAUUAGGUUCCUAUCUAGACUCCUCUUUCAAUAUUGUAUAUUUUUAAUUCCGAAUUUCAGUUAUUUUUAUAUUGUAUUUCUACUUAGACUCUUCUUUUUUUUCUCCGUAUUAAUUAAGGAGGCAGUAUUGUUCUAAUUUUUACAUGGACAUGAGUUCGUUUUUAAGGAACGCAAGCUGUGGAUCAAUACAUUAAUUUUAAUAUGAGAAAAAGUUCAAAUACUUCAUAUAGACAAAACGAAUUUAAAUAUCCCGGUUAGAAAUAAACUUUUCCUUUUCAGAUUGGUUGGUUUCACAUAUAUGUACAGGCCGUUUAUUUAGUCGUAUUGAUCUCGAACUCUUUUUUUACUCUGAUUCCUAAGUACGUUUCUCCUUUUUACUCCGAUUCCUAUUUCUAGUAUGUUUCUUUAAGCUUCCGUGGAAAGAUUUCUAUUAGCUGUACAACUCUGAUAUCUUUAUCUAUUAGAUCUGAGGUGCUAAAAUCUAGAUAUACUAUGAUCUAACGGUUAAUAUUUUUCUCCUUUCCUCCGAUUAAUGUGGGAAUUUUUAGCCUCCACAGCGAACGUGGUGCUUUCUUUUAAGGCUGUUUUAAUAAUAUAAUAGAAGAUAGAUGGUUCACUCUAAAAGCAUUUGCCUUAUUUGUUUCUCUUUAUACGAGUUGUAUUUUAGAUUGAAAUUUUAUAUAGCCAUAGACAACACGAUUAUUAAAGUUCAUUUUUUAAAAAAAUAAGUUCAUGACUAUUUGUUUGAAAUUUAAAACCUCGAUGUUUAAAUCAGGUUUAGUGCUUCGAAUAUAUAUACAAUGAUAAAAAAUUAUGAAAAAUGUUGAUAGGUAGGCUAUAUUGUAUCUAUUAAUCCUACCAAAUUUUAUUGAGAAACAUGACUUACGUAGGGAAAAAAAAAGAAGCAAUAUCAUUAGAGAGGAAGGUGACCUGUUUUUAAUAGUUCAAAGUGUAAAAUAAGAAAAAAAAAGGUUUAAGAUGUUGAGUGAAGCAAUGAAAUAGUUUACGGAGUAAAACGGAUUUUUUUUUGUUUUUACUUUUAGAACUAUAUCACGAGUUUUAUCUUCUGUGAAAAUAUCUUUCGCUGUGUAUCUCGGAAAGUACAAAAGAACAAUUAUUGAUCAACUAAUGUACACGUCCCAGAUGGCACCUAUAAGUAGAGUAGUAGUAAUAAGAUAAUGAUCGGCGACGCGCGAAACGGGUUCUAGACUUUUCUUCACCCGCGCGGAGCUUAAGCUAACGCCCGCCGUUUCGUCGUCAUCAUCAGAAGAAGAUAACUAUCGCACGCCAGCGAAAGCGAAACCCGUGUGCCGGUUAGCGGCUAAGCGCGCUCCCCGCCCACCAGAAGCCGAGCUUCCCAGCGGCCAUCGCCUUCCUCUCCUCUCCGCAUAUAUAAACCCCCCACGUCUCCUCCUCCUCCACGUCAAACCACAAUCCAACCAAAGCAAAGCAAAGGAGAGAGAUCCCGGAGAAGAAGUUUGCGUGCAAGGCGAUCGAUCCAUGAGCCUGAGGCACAUGAGCCGAGUGGGCGCGCGCGCGGCGCAGGCCGUGCGGGAGGGCGCGGGGAGGUCGGUGAAGGACAAGGCGCAGUCGGCGACGACGUCGACGUCGUCGGCGGCGGCGAGGAGCAGCGGCGGCGGCAGCAGGGCACCCGCCGCGGGGUCGGUGGAGAAGGGCAGGGUGAGCGCGGCGGCGGCGGCGAGGGCGGCGGAGGAGAAGCGGAGGCGGGCGGAGCAGUCGCUGCGCACCGUCAUGUUCCUCUCCGUCUGGGGUCCCAACACCUGAUGAAGACUAGUACUAGUAGAUGUGUAGGCUAGCGAUAGCUUAUCUGCAUACGGUGGUGUGAAGGUUUUGUUCUGCGUCUGUGAAAAUCUCAGAUGUGAAUGAAGAUGUAAUUAAGUAUGUGAAUCAUCGUCUAUGGAUGCCGAAAAUACUGUUUAUUCUUGGAUCUCGCUUGUGUUGUUAAUCCUUCUUUGUUGACUUCUUGUUAAUACUGUCUGUCUGUUCAUCUAUGGUACAGAAAAUACUAGUACUGUUUAUUCUUGUACCUCGGUUGUGUUGUUAAGCCUCUUCUCUUUGUUGUAAAUACUGUUAGUCAGUCUGUCUGUGUAUACACUUCCUGUAGUGAUUUUUCUGAAGAUCAUUGUGCUCUCUUCUGCAAGUACUGGAUCAAUUAUCUGAAGAUUGUUUUGCUCUCCCCUCUUCUACAAGUAGUGAAUCAUUUUCCCGUCUUCUCGGCUUCUCCAGGGUGGACUGAUUCCAUUUUGACAUUUUUUACUACCAAUCUUGAAAUUUCAGUAUGCUGCAUGUACCCUUUUCGUCCUUCUGUAUGUUCUGCAAAAAAAGACAGAAAGAAGGGGGAAAAGAGGAUGAUUUUUGGCAGUGGAUGUUGCAGUGUUUCACAUAAUCCGAGCAAAAAGAACAUCUUAGCUCCUUAGAGCGAAGAAUGUUAAGAGAAAUCCUAAAUAGAGCCAUGCAUACAUUCCUAAGUUCAGAAAAUGAAAUUGGCUAAACAAAAUUUCAGAAAAGGAACAGUACUUCACUAUUUCAUAGCAUCUUGCAGAAUACAAUACCGUCAAAAUUUCACAGAUUCUACCAUCUUACAAAAGGAAACGAACAUAAGGCACAAAUCACACUAGUCACUCUGCUCAACUGAUGUCACAGCACUACAGCAGCAACAGAAGCAUCGCGGCUAACUGGGUCCCCAGCACACGAGCUGCAUCACAUUCUCGGACUUCUCCCUGCGCCGCCGCCUCAUCCUCUCCGCCACGGCCGCCUUCUCCGCCGGCUCAGCCACGCCACCGGAGAGCCGCUUCGCCUGCUGCCGCUGAGCCGUGCCUGGCGCCACCGCCGAUGGCUUCGCCGCUGGCACCGGCUUGGCCACCGCAGGCGCCGGCUGCCUCGCGGCCCUCAUGGCCUGCGCCGCCGCUCUCAGCAACACCCUGCUCGCGUACCUCAGGCUCAUCGGUCGAUGGAUCGAUCGCUCAAACUCAGAGAUUAAUCUUUACCACCUUUGAAGUUUCUUGCACGUACAAAGCUUAAUGCUGGUAAGCGUAUAUAUACAGGGAGAGCAUAGUGAUAUUCCGUCGUGUUCCAAAACCAUCGGUUUUGAUGCUGGAUUGGCGGCUGUAUUCAACCAACUAUUCACUGCACCUGCUCCUGACCGUGUUUUUCUUUUUCCGGUGUGCGCCAGUAUGUGGGAUGUGUUGUGCGCUCUCGUCACUGCGAGUAGUGGUAUUCCAUCAACUGAAUUUUCAGUUGCAAUUUGUCGCUAAGGACAAAACGGAAUGGUAACUGAAUCCAAAAGGGAGCAGGAAAGCGCGAUGUAUCGGAGGAGACGUAGCACACAGAGGGGAGGGAUAUAUGAAUUCUGAACUCUGAAGAAAUGGGGAUGGAUGGGGACAUUUUCAGUAUUAUCGUGUACUUUUUGGAGGUGUUGGAGUAAAGCGUCGUGCAUGAGAGUACUUCUUCCCUGUUGUGCCACUUGAAGGUUGCAGCACACAGGUAGCAUUGGAAUAUGGUGGAUGGGAAGUGGUAUCGAUGGCGACAUUUUUUCCGGGUAUUUUGUUGGUUUCAGGAUCCAUCUUGUGCGAGACAAAAGUCGAUUUUGGAUUAGAACAAAUUGAUUAAAGCCGUGCACAGUGUUGCUGAACCGCUAAAGGAUACUCAAUUAUCUAUCCUACCAACCACCAAUGCAAGGAAAGGAUCACUUCGAAAAACAAGUGAGCAACGACCAUCAGGCGAAUUCCUUUUCUGCCUGAAGAAUGAGCUUUUUCCUCGUCAUACUGGUUGACGGAUGACUCAUCUGAUGGCGUUAGUUCACUUGAUACUGAAGAAUUCUUUGGUCUGCUGCUAAUCUGAUGCACGCCUGGAGGAUGGGAGGAAAACGGGUUCAGAUUCUGAGUUUAUUCCAGAUUCAUCAAGGCAAGUUCCAACUUUCAAGCGAAGUGACAAUGCGUCGUCUGGAUGGCCAAACACAAAGGACAGGAGAAACAGAAUUGUGCAUAACCAAAGCUCUUGAUUAGUUGCCAUAUCAUAUAUAUCGUAUAUAUACAUCUUGUGCAAAACUCGUCUGCAUAUACAAGCAGUUCCAUCUUGCAAGCACCAAAACCAAUCUAACCACCUAACACGAUCCUAAUCUGACUGAUCAGCUCAGUAACAAUUAGUUGUUUGGGCCCCAGUUGCUGAGGUACAUGACCGUCCUCAGCUCCUCCUCUUGCUGCUGGGCUUUCCUCCUCGCCGCCGCCGCCGCUGCAGGCUGCAGCGCACGCGCGCCGCCGCCGCUCUUGGCGCCGCUCGUCCCGGCCACGGCCUGCUGCCUGCCGCGCUGCUGGAGCGUCCGGAACGCGUAGUUCCAGCGGCACAGUCCGGCCUGGUCCUUGAGCGCCUCCACCGUGCCCACGCUCAUCGCCGCCGCCCACGACGACGCCUUCGCCUUCCCUCCGCCGCUCGCCAUGUGUUUGUUGCACUUGUACGAACGAUCUGUACGUGUGUUUGUGUGAGCUCUGCACGCUCAGAUGAUGCUCUUGUUUGUGUUUGGGUGUGUGUUGCCUUCUGCCGGAAUGGUGGUGGCGCGGAGCCGUGGUUUUAUAGGGGAGAGACCAAGCUCGCGCGACCCGAUUAGUGAUCGCUAGAGCGCGAGCCGUCGCUGCCGGUGGCGUGGCGUGGCGUGGGCGUACGCGCGGUUUUGGACUCGUGCGGGUGAAUCGGUGGGGGGCUCCCAGAAAACCGGGUGCAGAAUUGCGUGGCUCUGGUUGGCCGCGCUCUUGCUCGCGCGCGGAACGAGGUUUGCAAAUUGCGGCGCGUACGGUGUGCUUCUUGUGGUUGUGGUUGUGGGCGUCCGUGUGCUAUAGCCUAUAGCUAGCUGGCCACUUGCCGUGACGUUUGCCAUCGUCUCGUCUCCGGCCGCCUGCCGUGCCCGGUUGAAAUUCUGGUGCCGAACGAGACCAGGGCGUGUGCCGCCGUUAUUAUGUACUGGACUAUGGUACGGACUAAGGAGUCCAAAUACUCGGUUUUUGUUUAAGAAAGUGGAAUAAUACCCGUCAUUUAGAAAGUUGGUAUUCUACAAUGGAGUUCUUCCAUUGGCUAGCAGGGAAGUAGAUGCGCAGGUGCAAUGUAUAAUUGUGUAGAGGUGAACUGUUUUCGUUUUUUCUGGGGGUGAUCCACAUGUCUGCAAGUCAAAAAGUAGACUAGAUUUUGUGUUGUUUGAUCUUUUCUGGUCUAAAGAGUUUAAUUUGCGUUAUGUACUGCUUCAUGUCAGUAAGUGGUUUAUUGUAUCUCCAAUGGUUUUGACAAAAGCACAUGUGUUGCGACCAAAGCAGGUCUAAUACAGCAUAUACACUGCACAGGGAACUUCUCUUAUUUCAAAUAACUGCCGACUCUUGUUUCAUUCUCUCUAGUCACUAUUAUCUCAAAUCUCUAUGCAGGUACACUAUAAUUUUAAAGAAGUAAGUAAGUACCGCUGUCUCCCUUGCAGCACACAGGAUGAUAAGGAUCUGCCAUAUACUACUAAUCUAAUCCGUUCAAAGCAAUACUACUAAUCUUUUCAUCAAAAAAAAUAAUACUACUAAUCUGAGGCCUGAGGCAUCUUGUGAUCUUCUUACCUUCUUGGUGAGCAAUAAACUAUAUGGAUGAUGGAUCGUUUCUUUGCCGGCACUGACUCACAUCACAUGCGUUAGGUGCAGAUUAUUGUUACUAGUAACAAAUUAGUACCACAUGUUCUUUCCGGUGACGGUGAACGCGGAGUUAUGGGAGGCGGGCAGGGGGAAUCCAGGGGCUGGACAGCAUGGUUUCCAGUAUACCAGGUGCUGCAUUCUGCUGCACCCAGCGUUUUGCUGACGAUGCUGACCGCAUGCGUGCUAAGAUGCAGACAAACACACCACUAGAAGCCACCUGCCUGGUGCUUAAUUACUUCAAACUAGCAUGGUGGCCUCCAAAAGCAUCAUUCUAUUUUCUCUCAUAUAAUAGCAUAUAUGUUUUCUUAAUAUAUUAUUCAAAUAUAUUAAAAUGACAACAUAAUUUUAAAUUUUAUAAUAACUUUACAAAACUACUAAUGUGUAAUAUUCAUAUUGUAUUUUAUAUACGUGUUAGUUAUUAAUUAUUUUUAAUAUCAAAUUUUAGUUAUUUGAAAAUUAUAUAUAUUCCUAUAUGGACUCUAGACUCAUCUUUUAAUAUUUCUUUUUUUAAAUUCCGAACUUUUUGUAAAUUGUAUUUAUAUAUAUACUCUAUGCUCUUCUUCCUAUAUUAUUUAUUUUUAUUUCUGAAUUUUUAUUAUUUCUAAUUGUAUUUCUAUGUGGACUCUAAACUCAUCUUUCAAUAUUCUUUAAUUUUUAAUUUCGAAUUUCAGUUACUUCUAAAUUGUAUUCCUAUAUUGACUUUAAACUCUUCUUCACAUGUUUUUCUUAAUCUCGAAUUUUAGUUAUUUGUAAAUUAUAUUUUUAUAUGGACUCUAAACUCUACUUUUAAUUUUAUUAUGUUUAUUCCAAAUUUUAAUUAGUUUUAAAUUCCUAUAUGGACUCUAUACUCUACUUCUAAUAUUCCUUAUUUGUUUAAUUCCGAAUUUCUAUUUUUUUUCUUAAUUGUAUUUAUAUAUGUACUCUAUACUCUACUUCUAAUAUUCCUUAUUUUUAAUUCCGAAUUUCUAUUAUUUUCUAAUUGUAUUUCUAUAUGAACUCUAUACUCUACUUCUAAUAUUCCUUAUUUUUAAUUCUGAAUUUCAGUUAUUUCCUAAUUGUAUUUCUAUAUAGACUCUAGUCUCCUCUUUUGAUAUUCCCUAUUUUUUAAUUUCGAAUUUCAGCUAUUUCUCAAUUAUAUUUCUAUAUGGACUCUAGUCUCCUUUUCUAAUAUUCCUUAUUUUUUAAUUCCGAAUUUCAACUAUUUCUAAAUUGUAUUUCUAUAUGGACUCUAGUCUCCUUUUCUAAUAUCCAUUAUUUUUCAAUUCCGAAUUUCAACUAUUUCUAAAUUGUAUUUCUAUAUGGACUCUGCCUUUUCUUUUUCUCCGAUUAAUGUGAGAAUUUUUAGACCAUAAGAGCGAACGUGGAGGCUCCUUUUUCUAUUCUUUUAAUAAUAUAAUAGAUAACUUUAGGCCUCUUUUGGCUUUAGAGUUUAGAACAGAUAAAUGUUAUAGGAUUCAUAUCUUUUUAUAGCGUUAUUUGGAACAAAUGAUUGGACAUACACCUUAUCAUUAAGAACCCCCGAUGAAUUGAGCCGAUAAAUUUUAAGAUUAACGAAAUCAUCACAAACAUCUGAAUGUCAAGUGCUAUAUCACCUGCUCCCUCCGUCUCAAAAUAUAACAAUUUUUAGCUAUCAGGAUUUAUCCUAACAUAUAACAACUUCUCCAUCAAUACUCUCUUUCCAACCAAUCAUAACCAUCCACCAUUCACUUUUUCCGUCUAACUUCACUACUCAUUCAGUCACAAUCCUCCACCAUUCCCUUCAACCUACCCUCUCUGUCCCAAAAAAACGAAUUUAGAACUGGAUGUGACACAUCAUAGUACUAUAAAAUCUGGACAUACAUUUGUCCAGAUUCGUUGUAUUAGAAUAUGUCACAUCCAGUACUAUGUUUCAUGAGACGGAGAGAGUACUUUUUUAAUAACCAUGUCUAACUCUAAAACUUCUUAUAUUCUGGGAGAGUAACACUAAAAUAAUUAGCCAUAAAUGUAAGUAUUAGAGGAAGUUUAACAUACGGUCCAAUCUUAUCAGAACAUUUAUGUGAACUUUUUUCACGUUACAUCAAACGGUUAUUUCUCUAAUUUUUUUUCUUCUUCUUGUUUUACAAUCAUAUGUUUUGUUAUUGCAUUUAUCGAUUUUUGUUAUAUCUAUGUUUUCUCGUUCGUGCAUUCCACAAUACUUAUAUAUAUUGCAUGCCGUAAGCUAGAGACAAUGGUCAUACACAUUUUUACUAUAUUCGGAUGGAGAUUUACAAAUAAACUUGAAUAAAUGCUUCUAUAUUUUAUGUUGGUAUUAUUAGUUAGGGACAAUUAGUUAUUGUUUAGAUCUUUAAUGUUUUUUAUGCUCUCCAUUCAGUGAAUUAUGUAGAGCGGCUGUAGCUCUUUUAAGCAAAGGUUGAGAAUCUUUCCAUUCUCUUAAAAAAAUUCCAUACCAAAUUGAAUUGAAUUACAGAUCUGACUAUCAUUCAGUAACAAGUGGUAAGUAUUAAGUACAAACUAGAUUGCUACCAUUUCUUCCAUCAUUUCGAUCAUAAAUUUUACGGUGCAGUAUCAAAAGAACAGAACACCUUUCUCCCAGAAAGUUUGGAUCUUAAAUUGAUGACACGGCCGGAUUUUUGCGUGCAUGACCGUAAAAGUGGUCAGUUCAUAAAUUGUUCUAGACGACACAAUCACAAAGGCAAAAUGACCCAUGAAGCAAUUGUACUCAAGUAGCAGAAUUUUUCAUCAUCAUCGUGAUAUAUUACGAUCAGCUGGGAGCAACCGGCCAAUUACGUCUCCGGCCAUGGCUGCUACCGUCAAACGGACACCCAGCAGAGCAGAUCGAGAUCCAUCCGAGCUAACACUAAUGGCCUAGCUAAUUGGGACCCCAGCAGCUGAGGUACAUGACUGUCCUCAACCCCUCCUCGGCCUUCUCCGCUCUCCUCCUCUCCGCCACCGCCGCCGCAGAAGCUGGCAGCUUCUUGCCCUGCGAGACGCCGGCGGCGUUGGCCUUGGCCGCCUUGUGGAUGGACCGCAGCGCGUAGUUCCAGCGGCAGAGUCCGCCCUGGUCCUUGAGCGCCUCCACGGCGCCCACGCUCAUCGCCACCAUCCACGACGCCUUCGCUGCACCCGCCAUUGAAGGUUGAUGACUUGAUUCACUGGUGAUCUGUGGAAAUUUUCCUCGCUUGCAGUGGACUCGUUGUACUGUAGUGGGUUGAUGCUGUGUUGGUUAAGUUGAGGAGAGCGGGUGGGGGGUGGUGCGGUCUUUUAUACUGGAGUGGCCUGGCGAAACAGGCGGCGGGCGCGCGUUGGUUUUUCCGGGAUACCGGUGGUUCCACUGCUUAGCUGUGGCGCUGCACGCACUCGUCGCUUUCCGCGCGGGUUGGUGGCUGGCUGUGGCUCAUCACACGCCCGGCGCCCACCUCGUCUCGUCCUGGUUGGUUGUUUGCGGCAUGGUGGAGGCUGGGGAUGAGUUGGAGUUGGCCCGCUGCGUGCGGCUGGCCCACGCGUGCAGUGAUAGGAUAGGAGUAGCGGAGUAGUGGAUCCCACGAUGGUACGUGCCACUUCCAUGUGGGUCCCACGAAGCAGUGGAAAAAUCGCGGAUCUACGGGGAGUCCAUGAGCUUGUCAAUUUAGCAGCACAUUUCUUUUUUUUUUCCUUUUUUUUUUCAUAAGUAAAGUCCUUAAUUUCUCGUUUGAGUAAGUGUUUGUUUGACACGACUCCACUCUAGCUAUAUCUUUCCUGAGGUUAGAACUCAACCAAACGAUUUCAGCUUAAAAAAAAUUGGAGUGGAUCUAUUAGAGGGCUAUCAUAAAAUGAAUUACGCAUAUUAUUGUAAGUUCGUAGGGACUAACCAAGUUAUUAUACCGAAAUAAUAAAUUUACAAUUUAGUAUAUCUAUUUACACUCACCACGUAAAUUCAUGUACAGUAAGCAUAAUUUACUUGUCGUAGCACACAGGUUUUCGCAAGUACUUGCUACUAGAGUACUGGGGCUUCUAAUGUAGGCUGGCUCGUCCUAGAAGACUGGAGUUUUAGCGAGCGUCCGAGCGAUUGCUUCUUUUUCCUGCACUAGACUCACAUCAGUGUUGCACGCGUUCAACAGACUGCAUGUCGUCGAAUUGGGAAGCGUAUUAUGAUCUGCUGCCUGCUGGUGACUCUGAGAGCGGAGUUAUGGGAGGUGGCAUGGAAAACCAGGGGCUGGAGGACAUGGUUUCCCAUAUACCGGGUGCGAGUACGCCAACAGAAAUGUUUAGGGGCCGUUUUGUUCAAUACUUCAACUUACCACACCAUACUUUAGGCUGCCACAUCUCCUUAGCCUUGUGUUUGGUUCAUUGCCAUAGUUAUGGCAAGUCAUACUUUCUUACCAUCUUACCCCACAUGUUAUAGACUGAAUUCUUUGUCUAACUUUGCCAUAAGUGUGGCUCAUAAUUUAUUAGCCACAAAAAGUGUGGCAAGCCACACUUGCCUAAAGUGAGGUAUAAAUGUUAGUUAAUAACCAAACAGCCCAACUUCACUCAGUGUCAUGGUCCGGGACUCUCCUGUCUCCUCCAAGGCUCCAGGCCCCACGCUUAAUUAGUAGCUUCAUUUAUACUAGUACUUCAUUAGUGCCGUUGUUACCAGAUUAUACUACUUUGAAGAACUUGUGGUUGUUCUUAGCAAUUUUAUUUGCCUUCCAUGGCCCCUUCGUAGCAAGUGUGUUGCAAUUCUGCCAAACGUGACCUUAAUUACUUCAAACUUCAAAGCAUCCAUAUCCCCAAGCUAACAUGGUAGCAAUUCGCAAAGGCAAAUGGUUCCAGGAGGACAGGAGGCAAUUGUACUCGAGUAACAGAAGUUAUCAUCAUCAUCUUGGUAUAUUACAAUCAGGAGGCAACCGGCCAAGUUCUUAGGCCAUGGCUGCUACUACAGACUCACUCCUAGCUAAUUAGAUCGUGCUAUAUACUAAUUGGUGUUAGACUUUGCUCUAGGAUCACCUAGGUUAGAUCUAGUCGGGUGGUUCUAUUUGGGUUUGAUGAACGACAGGGUAGAUGAAAGGGAGAGGGUUUAGAUACCGACCGGUUGAGGAGUUCGUGGAGGAAGAGGCGCCAGACAUCGUCGUUGUCGUCGCGGCUUGACGUGGAUGCGGCGCCGGUGAGGUCGACGGUGAUGACGGCUGCGGCAGUGGUGGUCGUAGACGUCCCGGCGAUGAGGCGUGGCGCGGCGGUGGCGUUUCCCGUCACUGGCUGCGCCCCCUCUCGAUCGGAUUAGGGUUUUGUGGGGUGGAGUUGGCGGCGGCGGCGAAUCUCGUACGAUGUGCCGUGCCGGCCUCCACCCCUCUUUUAUAUGGCGCAGUGUGACGGGGGCCCACCAGCCAUUGGGCUGGGCGCCCCCGAUCAGGGCGCGGUCAAGGCCCCCUUGAGCCGUUGGGCUCAAGGGGAGAGAGAUCUAUCUAACAUUCUCCCCCUUGAUCUCACUUUUUCUUUUAGCUUUUUCUAUUCCAUCACAGAUUGGUAAAUAGAGCAUGUUUCAUCGUCACGGUCAAUCGCCGAUGGAUUCGACAGGCACUAUACACAUCUCUAUUCAGAAACAGAUACUUUACUUUGGGCCCUGUAGUCCAGGAUUCAUAAGGCUUCCCUUAAACCCAUGCCGGCUAUAUGUUCCUUGAACACGUUGGGUGGUAGGCCUUUCGUGAGCGGAUCCGCGAGCAUCCUUUCUGUUUUAAUGUGCUCGAGACUGAUUGUUUGAUCCUGGACUUUGUCCUUCACAACAUAGUACUUUAUGUCAAUGUGUUUGGCAGCACCACUUGACUGAUUGUUGUGAGCGUACAUUACUGCGGGUUCGUUGUCGCAGUAUAACUUUAGUGGUUUCUCAAUACUGUCAACCACCUUUAAACCGGGUAUGAACUUCUUUAGCCAGUUCACCUGCCCCGUUGCCUCAUAGCAUGCUAUAAACUCGGCAUACAUAGUAGACCCUGCAGUGAUAGUCUGUUUUGAGCUUUUCCAUGAAAUAGCUCCUCCUGCCAGGGUAAACACGUAUCCCGAUGUUGACUUUGUAUUAUCUUUUGCAAAGUCAGAAUCUGAGUACCCCACUAUCUGGAGUGAUUCUGAUCUUCUGUAAGACAACAUGAGGCCUUUUGUUCCUUGCAAAUAACGCAAGACUUUCUUUACCAAUUUCCAGUGCUCUAGGCCUGGAUUACUCUGAAAUCUGCCAAGUAACCCGGUAACAAAUGCCAAGUCAGGUCGUGUGCACACUUGCGCGUACUGUAGGCUUCCUACAGCUGACGCAUAUGGCUUUGUUUUCAUUUCAUUGAGCUCAUACUGAUUUCUGGGACAUUGCGAUGCCCCAUACUUUUCGCCUUUCAUUAUAGGAGCAGGUGUAGCACUGCAUCUGUACAUGUUGAAUUUCUUCAACACCUUUUCUAUAUAUGUCUUUUGAGAAAGUCCCAAUGCAUACUUUGUUCUAUCUCGGUGAAUCUCUAUGCCCAAAACAUAUGAAGCCUCACCAAGGUCUUUCAUGUCAAAGUUUGAGGACAAGAAUUUCUUUGUUUCCUGCAGUAGACUGACAUCACUACUAGCCAGUAGAAUGUCAUCCACAUACAGAAUUAGGAAAAUAAAUCUCCCAUUCUUAAACUUUGAAUAAAUACAGUUGUCCUCGACAUUCUCUUGAAACCCAAAUUUCUUUAUUGUCCCAUCAAACUUCAAGUACUACUGUCUCGAAGCUUGCUUUAAUCCAUAAAUGGAUCUCUUUAGACGACAUCCCAUAUUUUCGUUUCCUUUCAUGACAAAACCUUUCGGUUGCGCCAUGUAUACUUUUUCCUCCAAAUCUCCAUUUAGAAAUGCCGUUUUUACAUCCAUCUGAUGUAAUUCCAAAUCAUAAUGUGCCACUAGUGCCAUUAUAAUCCUGAAGGAAUCUUUACAAGAGACUGGAGAAAAUGUCUCAUUGUAAUCAAUCCCUUCUCGUUGCGUGAAGCCUUUUGCCACAAGUCGCGCUUUAAACUUUUCUAUAUUCCCUCUGGAGUCAUAUUUGGUUUUGUAGACCCAUUUACAGCCUACUGUUUUGGCUCCUUUAGGAAUUUCUUCUAAAUCCCAAACAUCGUUUAGUUUCAUUGAUUUCAUUUCAUCUUUCAUGGCUUCCAACCAUUCAGAUGAGCGAGCGCUUCUCAUGGCCUCUUCAUAUGAGGUGGGAUCAUCCUCCAUAUGCGACUCUUCUAUAUUAUAAACUUUAUAGUCAUCACGGAUAGCCGAUCUUCUGACUCUUUCAGACCUUCUAGGGGCCUGCACAUUUGGCACAUCCUGUACCUGAGGCUCUUGAUGAGUCUCCUGUACUGGCACAUUAUCUAUUUGAGGCUGUUGUAGCUCCUCCUCUGGUGUGGCAACCAUUUCUGUUGAAUCCUGUAUAACAGGUUCCUCACUCUCAUUCAUUGUUGCCACAGGAGGGGUAACAACAGGUGCUUGUCGGUGAUAUGGGACCGGGAGUAUCAUGACUAGAGGCUUGAGGCAGACACAAUCGCCCACGUGGCCUGGCACCUUCGGGGACGUCGGGCCCGAGGGUGAGGUGUCCGCCCUCCUCCUGAUUUCCCCCGAGGGGGGGUCGGGUUGCGCUUGCCCCGGCCCCGAGGGCCGAGGCACCCCGACCCCCUUAAGGAAGUCUGCGCCACAUAUAUGGGAUAAGUGAGCACAGCUGUGCUCACCUAACAGCAUUUAUUGCAGUCUGGUCAAGCGUGUCACGCUGCAUGCAGCGCAGUACGGCGCGUUCCUUUAUCCGGUCUGUGACCAGUCACAGACCGGUCAGAUCACGGGUUAGGUGGCGACUGGCGGUCUGACGCACGCCUUACCCCAUCCCGUCAAGGUGUGAGCUUCUAAGCACUCGUCCCCAGCUGGAGCUAGCGUGUUACAUCCCAGAGAUGGCACGUUAACCCCGAUCGAUAUAUACCAGGCUUCAUCCUAACCAUUACAGGCAAGGUGUUACACAAGGAAGGGCAAACAUGCAUGUUGUUAAACUGACGCGUGGUGGACAAGAAUGACCGGUCUGGCACUGGUCGCGUCAGCAACGGGCAGCCACGAUCCCACGUUGCGCCUGUCUCCGCCGGGAGUGGAGGUAGGUGUGGGCUGUCCCAUCGGAGUGUCAUUCGGACAGCAACCAUACCAAUCUCCGUCCAUAAAGAGAAGAAAAGUCCAGUUUGGAAAGGGAAGGGUGCAUGUGGUAUCCCCUUGAAGUAUAAAAGGAGGACCUUGCCCAUAGAGAGGGGGGUUUUUUUUUAUUCUUUUCCAGAUUUAGAGCUUAGAACGGGGGAGAAGUUGGCUCACACUUUGUAGCUCAUUCAUACACAAAUCCACAAAAACACAGGAGUAGGGUAUUACGCUUCGCAGCGGCCCGAACCUGUAUACAUCGCCGUGUCUCGUGUGUCUUGCGGGCAGACGAUCUUUCCAGAUACAGAGGGAGAGCGAGAGCUUGAGAUUUCACCCUAAGCCCCCGGCCGAACUGGCAAAGGGGGGCCUGCGCGGUCUCCCGGUGAGGAGCCACGAGCUCCGUCAUCUGGCGCGCCAGGUAGGGGGCUCAGCGUGUGUUUUCUGAGCUCUCAGACUCUUCCGUGUGCGCCAAGUUUUUCUUGUUCAGCCUAAUGGCCGAGCAAGGAAAAGCGCACGACCUCUCUCCGAGUGUGAGCGGCGACGACGGGGAGCCGAAUCCACGCCGUCGAGCUCGUACUCCCCCACCUCCUCCGCGCCAAAGCCCUAAGCAGGGGGAGGCGCUUGAGAGGGUCGACAAAUCCGUGGCAUCACCAGUCGCAGGUGAUGCAGGAGAACGGCGAGAUGGGGAGCGUCGCCUCCUCGUCUACGGCGACGGCAGCACGCCUCAGGGUGCGCUUCAGGCUGCUGGCGCGCUCCUACGACACCCGCCUGUCGUCCAUGACCCGGAGUCUCCAGCCCAACGAUGGCUGGAAGACGUGGCCAACUUGGUCAUGACGGCACAGCAGCGCCUGGGUGCUGGUGGACGGUCCGCCACCACCAAGACCUCCGGCGCCGCUACCACCGGCUCCGUGUCAUCAAGGCGGAGGGCGCGGCGAGCGGCGGCGGCUGCACGUCAUUCGGCUGCCACUCCCUCGUCGACACCGUCGACUCGGGAGGAUCAGCAUGGGGAGCCGGAUGCCCGCCUCAACAUCGAGCGCCGGCGUAAUAGCCGGCGUACUCCCCGUGCAACGGAGGGCGCCUCCUCGUCCAGAGUGUCACCUCGACACGGACGUGAAGAUCAGCCCUCCGUGCCCCCGGCCGGUGGUGUUGGCUGUAGAGCCUUUGUGGCGAGUCUUCGGAAUGUCCGUUGGCCCCCAAGGUUCCGGCCCACCAUCACCGAGAAGUACGAUGGGAGCGUCAACCCCACCGAGUUUCUCCAGGUCUAUACGACCGGGAUCGAGGCCGCUGGGGGUGACGACAGGGUCAUGGCGAACUUCUUUCCCAUGGCCCUAAAAGGACAGGCGCGGGGUUGGCUAAUGAACCUGCCACCCGCGUCGGUCCACUCCUGGGAAGAUUUGUGCCAACAGUUCACCAUGAACUUCCAAGGCACAUAUCCGCGCCCAGGCGAAGAAGCGGACUUGCAUGCAGUACAGCGAGGCGAUGAUGAGUCGCUUCGCUCGUACAUUCAGCGGUUUUGCCAAGUCCGCAAUACUAUACCAUGCAUCCCUGCACACGCGGUGAUCUACGCGUUCAGGGGGGGUGUGCGGCACAACCGCAUGCUCGAAAAGAUUGCCUCCAAAGAGUCCCAGACUACCGCAGAGCUUUUUCAGCUCGCGGACCGAGUGGCUCGUAAGGAGGAGGCCUGGACCUGGAACUCCUCCGGUUCCGGAGUGGCAGCUUCGGCCGCCCCCGGAUCCGCCGCUCAGACAGGGCGGCGUGACAGGAGGAGGAAGAAGAGGCCGGACCGUUCCGGCGACGAGGGUCAUGUCCUCGCCGUCGAGGGCGCUCCGCGGGCCACUCGAAAGGGGAGGCCUGCGAGCGACAAAAAGAACGAGGCUGGUACACCCAGCAGGGAGCGCCUCGCCGGCAGGUGGUGCUCUGUCCACAACACCUCCCUCCAUGAUCUCGCGGACUGUCGUGCGGUCAAAAACCUGGCCGAGCGAACGAGGAAAUGGGAGGAGGACAGGAGGCAGGAACGCCGUGAGGGCAAGUCCCCGGCGGUUCCUUCCGGCAAACGGCGAAGUGAGGCCAAGCAGAAGGCCCCCGCUGUUGACAUCGAUGAUGGUGAUGAUGACCUAGGUUUCCAAGAACCUGGGGCCACCAUUGCCACCGUCGAUGGAGGAGCAUGUGCUCACGUCUCUCGCCGGAGCUUCAAGGCUAUGAAGCGAGAGCUUCUGGCCAUGGCCCCUACCCAUGAGGCGAUGCGUCGGGCGCGGUGGUCGGAGGUUGCUCUCACUUUCGACCAGACCGACCACCCACCGUGCAUUGCCCGGGGAGGGCAGGUUGCGAUGGCGGUUUCCCCCACCAUCUGCAACGUGAAGUUGGGACGUGUCCUCAUAGAUGGAGGAGCGGCUCUCAACAUCCUUUCCCCCGCGGCCUUUGAUGCUAUCAAGGCCCCGGGGAUGGUGCUCCAGCCGUCUCAACCGAUCAUCGGUGUGACGCCGGGGCACACGUGGCCAUUAGGUCACAUCGACCUACCGGUCACCUUCGGUGGACCCGCCAACUUCCGCACGGAGCGGGUGAGCUUCGAUGUGGCGGACCUCAGUCUGCCCUACAACGCGGUCCUAGGGAGACCCGCGUUGGUGAAGUUCAUGGCGGCGGUCCACUACGCCUACCUCCAGAUGAAGAUGCCGGGCCCCGGUGGCCCCAUCUCUGUCCGUGGCGACCUUAAAGUCGCGCUUGCUUGCAUGGAGCAGCGCGCGGACCGCCUCGCUGCUGCGUCCAAGCCCGAGGGUGGUGACGAGAGGCUUGGCCCCUCUGCCCCCACCGCCCCGAGGCAGCGGAUGGCCACAUGCGACGAGGUCCCGGUCAAGGAGGUUGCCUUGGGCGACGGCCCAUCCAAGACCACACGGAUCGGUGGUCUUCUGGAUGGCAAAUAGGAAGACGCGCUCGUCUCCUUCCUGCGGGCAAACGCUGACGUCUUCGCAUGGAGACCAGCGGAUAUGCCCGGGGUCCCCAGGGAGGUGAUUGAGCACCGUCUCGCCGUGCGGCCGGGCGCAAGGCCGGUCCGCCAGAAAGUGCGGCGGCAAGCCCCGGAACGUCAAGCCUUCAUCCGCGAGGAGGUGGCUAGACUUUUGGAGGCCGGGUUCAUCCGUGAGGUCAUCCAUCCGGAGUGGCUGGCGAACCCGGUGGUCGUUCCCAAGGCGAACGGCAAGCUUCGGAUGUGCAUCGACUACACCGACCUUAACAAGGCAUGUCCUAAGGAUCCUUACCCCCUGCCUCGCAUAGAUCAGAUCGUCGACUCCACUGCGGGGUGCGACCUUUUGUGUUUUCUAGAUGCAUACUCUGGUUACCAUCAGAUUCGCAUGGCUAGGGAGGAUGAGGAAAAAACUGCGUUCAUUACCCCCGUAGGAACCUAUUGUUAUACAUCAAUGCCCUUCGGGUUAAAGAAUGCAGGUCCUACUUUUCAGCGUACUACUCGAAUUUCUUUGGGUAGCCAAAUAGGACGUAAUGUUGAGGCGUAUGUCGAUGACUUGGUUGUAAAAACGCGCAACCAAGAGACCUUACUCUCAGAUCUAGCGGAAACUUUUGAGAACCUCCGCUCCGCCCGCAUAAAACUGAACCCCGAUAAGUGCGUGUUUGGUGUACCUGCGGGCAAGCUUCUCGGGUUUUUGGUCUCUGCCCGAGGCAUUGAGGCCAACCCCGAGAAGAUACGAGCUAUAGAGCGGAUCCGCCCCCCCAGCAAACUUAGGGAUGUGCAGUGCGUCACUGGUUGCAUGGCCGCCCUAAGUCGUUUCAUAUCAAGGCUGGGAGAGAAGGCGCUUCCCUUGUUUAAGCUCCUCAAGCGCUCGGGGCCGUUCACUUGGACGGAGGAAGCUGAACAUGCCCUUACUCAGUUAAAGGCAUAUCUCAGCUCUCCCCCGGUUCUAGUCGCCCCGGAGCCAAAUGAGCCCCUGCUACUUUACUUAGCGGCGACCCCCCAAGUAGUUAGUGCAGCGUUGGCUGUGGAGCGCGAUGAAGACAAUCCUCAUUCCGCGCACCCCCACCCUGUGCUGACUUGGCCCGGGAGCAAGCAGGGAGGAGAGGCCCCCGAGCCGAACGGUGGCCUAAGGCCCCUGACGACCGGAGUCGGCCCUCUCCCCGCUCGUCAGACGGUGCUGGGCGCCCCCGACCCUCAGGAAGGCCCCGAGGCCACUGCGGGGAGGCCGCACCUAUCGCCCUCUGACCCCGAGGCUAACCCUGUACCGAUUCGACCCGGGAGAGAGCAGGGAGAAGAGGCCCCCGAGCCGAACGGUGGCCUAAGGCCCCUGACGACCGGAGUUGGCCCUUUGCCCGCUUGUCCGAUGACGCCAGGAGCCCCCGACCCCCAGGACGGCCCCGAGGCCACUGUGGGAAGGCCGCUCCUGUCGUCCUCCGACCCCGAGGUCAUCGGCACAGAAGACGAGUGCGCCCCGAGGGGCCACUCGGACGAAGAACGCCCCGAGGGGCCACUCGGACGAAGAACGCCCCGAGGGGCCACUCGGACGAAGAACGCCCCUGUCUACUUUGUUAGUGAGGCCCUCCGGGACGCCAAGACCCGAUACCCACAGGCCCAGAAGAUGCUUUACGCUAUUCUGAUGGCCUCGAGGAAACUGCGCCAUUAUUUCCAGGCGCAUCGGAUCGCUGUGGUUACGUCUUACCCCCUCGGUCAAAUCUUGCAUAAUCGAGAGGGUACAGGACGAGUGGUAAAAUGGGCAAUCGAGCUUUCUGAGUUCGAUCUGCACUUUGAACCACGCCACGCUAUCAAGAGCCAGGCCCUCGCCGAUUUUGUGGCAGAGUGGACCCCGGCUCCAGAGACUGUCUCAAUACCCGAGGCCAGCACGAACCCCUCUCAGCUGCCUCACACCGCCCACUGGGUGAUGCAGUUCGACGGUUCUUUGUCUCUCCAGGGCGCCGGUGCAGGGGUCACGUUGACCUCUCCGAACGGAGACGUCCUCAGAUACUUGGUCCGUCUCGACUUUCGAGCGACCAAUAAUAUGGCAGAGUACGAGGGACUCCUUGCCGGACUCAGAGUGGCGGCCGGGCUGGGGAUCCGCCGCCUCCUGGUGUUAGGUGACUCUCAGCUGGUUGUUAACCAAGUCUGUAAGGAGUACCGGUGCUCUGAUCCGCAGAUGGACGCCUACGUGCGCCAAGUACGGCGUAUGGAGCGCCAUUUUGACGGGAUAGAGCUUCGGCAUGUGCCCAGACGGGAUAAUAUGAUUGCCGAUGAACUCUCAAGGCUCGCGUCCUCGCGAGCCCAGACCCCACCGGGCGCCUUUGAAGAAAGGCUUACUCAGCCGUCGGCGCGACCCGACCCCUUAGGGGAGACGGAUGCGCCUGACCGGCCCCCGAGGCCCGUCGGAGUCCAGGCCUCGGGACCCGAAGGGAGCGCUCCAAGCUCCUUUAGAUUGAUUGCUUGGAUCUCUGAGAUCCAAACAUACCUCGCAGAUAAGACUCUACCUGAGGACCGCGAAGGGAGUGAACGCGUACAACGCAUUUCCAAACGCUACGUGUUGGUAGAAGGGACCCUCUAUCGGCGCGCGGCUAACGGAAUCCUCCUGAAGUGCAUUCCUCAGGAACAAGGCGUUGAGCUUCUUGCUGACAUCCAUGAGGGCGAGUGCGGAGCCCAUUCCGCCUCGCGUACCCUGGUUGGCAAGGCCUUUCGUCAAGGAUUUUAUUGGCCGACAGCUCUCAAUGACGCAGUCGAUCUGGUCCGGCGAUGCAGAGCGUGUCAGUUUCACGCCAAGCAAAUCCAUCAGCCGGCCCAGGCCCUGCAGAUCAUACCACUGUCAUGGCCAUUUGCUGUCUGGGGGCUUGAUAUCCUGGGACCGUUCAAACGGGCCCCGGGCGGGUUUGAGUAUCUGUAUGUUGCGAUCGACAAGUUCACUAAGUGGCCCGAGGCUUAUCCGGUUGUCAAGAUCGAUAAGCACUCUGCUCUUAAAUUCAUUAAGGGCAUCACGGCCCGUUUUGGAGUGCCUAACCGUAUUAUUACGGAUAAUGGCACCCAAUUCACUAGUGAACUCUUCGGCGACUACUGCGAAGACAUGGGCAUCAAGCUCUGCUUCGCCUCACCUGCCCACCCCAGAAGCAAUGGCCAAGUGGAGCGCGCCAAUGCAGAAAUCCUUAAAGGCCUCAAAACCAAGACCUUCAACAUUCUCAAGAAGCACGGCGAUUCAUGGAUCGAGGAGUUGCCAGCGGUGCUCUGGGCGAACCGAACCACACCAAGCCGAGCGACCGGGGAAACGCCUUUCUUCCUCGUCUACGGCGCAGAAGCGGUUCUCCCAUCUGAGCUCACCCUGAGGUCUCCUCGGGCCACCAUGUACUGCGAGGCUGAUCAAGAUCAGCUUCGUAGAGAUGACCUCGACUACUUGGAAGAACGAAGGCGGCGCGCGGCCCUCCGAGCUGCGCGCUACCAGCAGAGCCUGCGGCGCUACCAUCAGCGCCACGUCCGGGCCCGAUCACUCUGCGUCGACGACCUCGUCCUACGCCGCGUCCAAACGCGUGCUGGAUUGAGCAAGCUCUCACCAAUGUGGGAGGGUCCGUAUCGAGUGAUCGGUGUCCCCCGGCCGGGCUCGGUACGGCUGGCCACGGGCGACGGCACGGAGCUGCCAAACCCGUGGAACAUCGAACACCUUCGUCGCUUCUACCCCUGAAAGGGGGGGGGUCGGGUGUCAGGUUUUGGCUCGGGCCAACCCCGCACCCCCCUCGGGUGUGCAGGAUUGGCCGGGGGCUACCACACAUGCACAUAUAUCCCUUUUUCCUUUAUUUCAGCAUUUCAAUAAAAGCAGUUUCAAUUUUCUAAAGGUUGUGUCUGUGCCGUUUUUUCCUUUUGAAGAAUCUUGACUUGAAAUAAUGUCACUCGUGCUCAACCUUGCCCUCGGGGGCUCGGUUCGGUCAGCUAAAAUCGCCAAACGGGGCCCAGAACCGAGCCGUGCCCCGGGGCGUGGUGAACUCCGGGGGGGAAUCGGCAAAAACCCACAAUCGGGUCACCCAUAACCCUCGGUCACCACGUUCCCGGCCUGGCCAGUCUCGACAUGCGGAUCUCCCCAGGCACUAGCCCCGACCCGCGCUUUUCGAGGACUGGGACUUGGGCACGGGCCCUUAUUUCAAGCUAAGACGCAAAAAGACCACGGCACAGAUCAUCCUCAUCUCAUAUAUAGCAAAAUAAAACUAACACAAAAAUUUUUUCAUCAUUUCUCAUUGCAGAUUAAGUUAAAUUGUACAAAAAAGAGGCAUGAAGGCCUUAGAAGAAAGAACAAGAAAAAAGUUAAGAUUGGCGGGGGCCUGGGGGCUCAUUCAAAUGCGCCCGGGUCGCCGGCCUCGUCGCCACCGUCGUCCUCGCCGCUGGCGUCGCCCUCCUCGUCGGAGCUGGGGGCGAACGCGAGCCGAGGGGCCGAGCCCUCGAAGCCGUUGACGAUGUGGUCAGCAGCAUCCCCGACGCGCGCGCGCGCGUCGUCCUCGGUCCCGGGAGGGAACUCCUCCAGCGCCAUCCAGGGAGAGAAAUUGGGGUCCCGGGCCUGGUAACUCGCUAGCACGAGUUCAACCGCCCCCCGGGCGAGGUCCCUCGAGGAUGACUUGAUGGUCUUCUCGAGCUCCUCGGGGAGUCGUUCGAGGACCCAGGCCAUCCUGUUGAGGUGCGGAGCGAGGCCUUCCAGAUUGGUGGGGGGCACCGUCGUCUGGCCUUUCCAGAGGCCUGCUUGCCGACCGGCGCGCUUCAUGCGGGAGACCGCAUCCCAAAGCAUGUCGGGCCCAAUCUCGCCCGCCAAGCGAAGGGCCUCGGCCUCCCCGGUGGAGGAGUCCAGCGCUCGCUGCAUUUCCGCGACGGUGUGUUCGGCAGCUGCGAGGCGGGCGGCUAAGUCGCUUUCGCCCGCGGCCGCCCCGCCGAUAGGCGCCCUUGCGUCCAGCUCCUUUUCCCGCGCCUCGAGGUCAGCAGCCCGCUGCUCCAGUGCGGCUCUCUCGGCGCGGACGCAUUCGAGAUUGCGGCGCGCCUGCUCCUCCUGCGCCGCCUCGCGAAGGGACAGGCUGUCCGCCAGCCGUUUGGUCGUGGCCUCAGCCUCCUCGAGAGCUCGCUCCCGCUCAGCGAGUGCGUCCUCGCGGAGGCGGAGCGCGCACUCCUCCUCGGCGCAGGCGGCCUCAUGCGCCGCCAGCGUCGCCUCUCGGAGACCAGCGGCGGCCUCGCGGUCCGUCAAGCCCCUCUCCACGGCGCCGGCGUGUUCUUCCAGCGCCAUGGCACGGGCCUCAAGGGCCUCCUCGCGCCGCCGAAACGCCGCUUCAGUCUCCGUUACCCGCCGCUCUCGGGCAGCGGCGGAGUCAAGGACCCCUUGGGCGGCGUCGAGCUUUUUCUUCAGCUCCGCCUCCCAGCUUGCGUGCUGAAGGCGGAGAGUGUCUUGCGCCUCGAUCAUCGCGGUGGUAGAGAUGAGGGCGGCCGCCCGCUCCUCCUCCACCUCACGGGCGAUCUCCGCCAGCGCCGCUUUCCGGGCUUCAAGCUCCGAGACAUGACGGCGGUGAGCCUUACGGCCCACCUCCACCAUGGCGUCCACCGAGCGCCGCCCCUCCUCAACACGCGCCCAUGCGGCCUCGAGCUCCGCUCGUUCUGCACGCAGGGCCUCCACUUGGGUGUUGAACCCAUCCAGCACUGCGGUGUUUGCGGCGGCCAGGGCCUGCAGAAGGGGCUCGGCGCUCAGCGGGGCGACAGAAGAUGAGGAGAAGAGCCGCCUUGGAGAAAAGGCGACGCGGCUUGGCCCCCCGGAGGAUGCGCUGGGCUCGGGGAUGUCCCCCGGGCCCGUUUGGUCCUGGGCGUCGCCCGGUGAGGUAGGCCCAGGCGAUGCGCCCGCGGCCUCGUCGCGAGCCGCCUCAGAGGAUGUCGCCUGAGGGCCGCCCGAGGGAGUAGGCCCAAGUGACGCGCCAGCAGCAGCUGUCGCCUCAGCCUGGCGAGCCCGGGCGGCCUCCUCCUGGGCAGCUUCUUCGGCUUGGCGAGCCCGGGCGGCCUCCUCCCGAGCAGCUUCCUCCGCUUGGCGAACCCGGGCGGCCUCCCGGGCGGCCUCUUCAGCUUCCCGAAGGCGGGCUGCGGCUUCACGCCGGUCAGACUCUCGCCUCCGCUCCUCUGCGGCCGCUGGAUCUUCGGCCUCGGACUGGCCGGAUUUGGGGUGGCGGGAGGAAUGCGACGGGACAUCGCUGAAGCAGAAGAAAAAACCAAAAGACGAACAAAAUGAGUAAGAAAAAACUUCUCUUUGGGAGAAAGGUGGUUGCAAUGAGAGUGAGACGAACCUGCGAGGGGGUCGGUUGAAUGGCCACCUUGGAGGAGAAAUCAGGUUCCCCCGGCAUGGUUCCGUCUCCCCCGUCUUGCGGAGCCGUUUCUUCUUGCGCUCCCCCUCGGGCUGCGACGUCGGCGCGGCCCCCUCCGGGCGCCGACUGCUGGCACGCGCCGCCCCGCCCCCUCGGGGAGGAGAUGGGGGAGGUGUUCCUCCCAGCUUCCUCUUCCCCUGGGCGUCGGCAGGGCGGCUGCUCCCCGAGCCCCCGGCGCGGGGCCCAGGAGCACGACUCCCUCCUGGGGCAGAUUGUUCCCCUCGGCGGCGCUCGCCCGCGCCAUCGUGGCCCUUAGGGGCUCUCUCCUCUGAGGCCCCGACCCCCAUCAUAAUGGUUAGAAUGGAGGCGCGGUCGGGAUCGCUGCAGAGGGGGAGGAUCUCCUGAGGAAUGCGAGACGCCUCCGCGGAGCUAAGAUUCAGCACCCUUUGGACCACGAUCUUGAAGUCCUCGGGAGCCCAAUCCCAUCUGGCUCCCUGGUGGGUCCGCAUGUAGUCUUCAGGCCCAGUGUACUCCCAGGCGUUCCGGGCGCGCCGUUGGAGCGGCGCAAUCCGGCGACGGAGGUAAUCGCCGUACACCAUGGCCCCGGUGAGCCCCUGGGAUCGCAGGCCCGCCAGGCGGUCGAGGACGGCGUCGUAGUCCUCCCCCAGAUCUACUGGUGCCCGCCAGCUGGAGACCUGUGCCGGGGGCUGGCUUGGAAGUCGGAGGCGCGCUUCGUUGGUGAGGGGGGUGUAGAACCAGUCGCUCUUCCAGUCGUCCCACUUCUUGCGAAGGACGCAGGGGAUGUAGCGGUUCAGCACCGGCCCCCGCGGCUGGAAGUAGCAGCCGCCAACCACCGACGGCGGUGACACCGACUGCACGGUGAAGAACCACCGGAACAGCUGAAGAGAGGGGCGCACCCCGAUGAACAUCUCGCACAGAUGCGCGAAGAUGGCCAAUGUCAUCACCGCAUUGGGGGUGAGGUGCGCCAUCUGGAGGUCAUAGAACUCCAGGACAUCCAUGAAGAAAUGAGAAAAUGGCGGGACCAGCCCAGCCAUCGCGAAGGGGAGGAAGAAGAUGGACCGCCCCGGGUAGUCUGGUGCCGGGCGCCCCUCGCCCAGCAUCACUAUCUCCCGACCGGUGGCGGACUCCGGCAUGAAGCGGCGCGGCAGUCCGGCGUGCCUCUCAUUCACGAUGCGGGAAGGCGGUAGUACACUGCCGUCGAGCAGAGCAGAGCCCCGUGCCAUGGCGGCGGAGGAAGAGAUGACUGAGAACGAGCGCGUGUGGCGAAAGUAGGGCGUAGCAGAGAAAGAGUUAGAGCUCAGGUGGCGAAGGCAAGAGGAACAAUGGCGAAAGGAAGGAAGCAAAUCCUUUUCUCGAUGCUUUUAUACCCUUGCCAUCGCUGGGCCUGACUCCUCGUUUCUCGCGCCCACUACCUCGCUCCCUCGUAUCUCGCUAUCUCGCUCCCUCGUUUCCCGUGCCCACGCUUCCACUAAUCCCAUUCGCCCGCUUACGGCGCAUUGAGUGGAUAUGCGGUUGUGGCAAUCGAAAUGGAUUGUAUCGUGCGCGCGUUAAUUACGCUCGCCGACCGAAGCGGCGUUACCAUAUCUCCGGGCGAGACGAAUCUGCUCACCCAGAUUCGCGCGCUGCUCAAGUGGUGUGGCAGUCUUGAAUAGACCGCCCAUUAUGGACAACCAAAGUUACCAAUACCAAUGUGCAUGGAUUGAGACCGUUGGGUAUUUUGCCCAACUACGGAGACCGGUCCCACCUGUCACAGGGUGGCGUCACACCUGACCGCUUCCCUUGGGAAGGGAAAUUGCUCUGGCAUAACGCCGGGGGCUACUGUCGGUGAUAUGGGACCGGGAGUAUCAUGACUAGAGGCUUGAGGCAGACACAAUCGCCCACGUGGCCUGGCACCUUCGGGGACGUCGGGCCCGAGGGUGAGGUGUCCGCCCUCCUCCUGAUUUCCCCCGAGGGGGGGUCGGGUUGCGCUUGCCCCGGCCCCGAGGGCCGAGGCACCCCGACCCCCUUAAGGAAGUCUGCGCCACAUAUAUGGGAUAAGUGAGCACAGCUGUGCUCACCUAACAGCAUUUAUUGCAGUCUGGUCAAGCGUGUCACGCUGCAUGCAGCGCAGUACGGCGCGUUCCUUUAUCCGGUCUGUGACCAGUCACAGACCGGUCAGAUCACGGGUUAGGUGGCGACUGGCGGUCUGACGCACGCCUUACCCCAUCCCGUCAAGGUGUGAGCUUCUAAGCACUCGUCCCCAGCUGGAGCUAGCGUGUUACAUCCCAGAGAUGGCACGUUAACCCCGAUCGAUAUAUACCAGGCUUCAUCCUAACCAUUACAGGCAAGGUGUUACACAAGGAAGGGCAAACAUGCAUGUUGUUAAACUGACGCGUGGUGGACAAGAAUGACCGGUCUGGCACUGGUCGCGUCAGCAACGGGCAGCCACGAUCCCACGUUGCGCCUGUCUCCGCCGGGAGUGGAGGUAGGUGUGGGCUGUCCCAUCGGAGUGUCAUUCGGACAGCAACCAUACCAAUCUCCGUCCAUAAAGAGAAGAAAAGUCCAGUUUGGAAAGGGAAGGGUGCAUGUGGUAUCCCCUUGAAGUAUAAAAGGAGGACCUUGCCCAUAGAGAGGGGGGUUUUUUUUGAUUCUUUUCCAGAUUUAGAGCUUAGAACGGGGGAGAAGUUGGCUCACACUUUGUAGCUCAUUCAUACACAAAUCCACAAAAACACAGGAGUAGGGUAUUACGCUUCGCAGCGGCCCGAACCUGUAUACAUCGCCGUGUCUCGUGUGUCUUGCGGGCAGACGAUCUUUCCAGAUACAGAGGGAGAGCGAGAGCUUGAGAUUUCACCCUAAGCCCCCGGCCGAACUGGCAAAGGGGGGCCUGCGCGGUCUCCCGGUGAGGAGCCACGAGCUCCGUCAGUGCUGGUACCUCAAUGACAGGCAUUGCAGGCACAACAUCAGCAGGUAGAGAGAAGAAAGGUUCCUGAGUCGACGGAGCAGGUACAGACACCCGCCUCUCCUCAAGAUCAAUUUCUCAAACUACCGAGCUCCCCCUAAUCAUUUCGUCUUCCAAGAAGACGGCGUGUCUCGUUUCUACAAACUUUGUAUAACUGUUUGGACAGUAGAAACGAUAGCCUUUUGAUCUUUCAGGAUAGCCAAUAAAAUGGCAACUGACUGUUUUGGGGUCCAACUUCCCAAUAUUUGGGUUAAAUACUUUGGCCUCUGCAGGACUCCCCCACACACGGAGGUGAGUUAGCGAGGGUACUCUCCCUGUCCAUAGCUCAUACGGUGUUUUGGGCACCGAUUUGCUUGGAACUCUGUUGAGAAUAUGAAUGGUGGUUUUUAACGCCUCCAUCCAUAAACCGAGUGGUAGUGUGGAGUAGCUCAUCAUGCUGCGCACCAUAUCCAUAAGCGUACGGUUGCGCCUUUCUGCUACCCCAUUCUGUUGAGGUUCGCCCGGUGUUGAAUACUGGGCUACUAUUCCAUUCUCUAGCAAGAACCUUGCAAAAGGUCCAGGGACUUGCCCAUAAGGCGUAUGUCGACCAUAGUACUCCCCCCCACGGUCAGAUCUUACUACUUUAAUCUUUAUAUCAUGCUGAUUUUCAACUUCAGCUUUGAAUAUCUUAAAUUUAUCCAGUGCUUCUGAUCGCUCUUUAAUUGGAUAAAUAUAACCAUAGCGGGAGUAAUCAUCUGUGAAUGUUAUGAACGAGUCAUAGCCAUCCACACUUUUCACAGGAAAUGGACCACAAAUAUCUGUAUGAAUGAUCUCUAAAAUUCCUGCGCUUCGUUUUGCACCCUUUUUGAUGCUCUUUACAAAUUUUCCUUUAAUGCAUUCUAUGCAUUGUUCUAAGUCUGAGAACUCCAAUGGAGGAAGAAUUUCAUUCUUAACUAGUCUCUCAAUUCUCCCCCUCGAAAUAUGGCCCAAACGACAGUGCCAUAAUUUCGAUGAGACAUCGGGAGUUCGCUUUCUUUUCUUGUUUUCUUUUGUCAACGAGGACACAACAUUCACAUUCUCAGAAAGAGAUAACAAAUAAAGCUCGUCUCGCAACACAGCAAGACCAAUACAUGCAUUAUUAUGCCAUAGUUCACAUUUGCCACUUCCAAAGCGGCAAUCAUAUCCAUCAAAAUCCAACUUUGAUACACUUAUUAAGUUCCUUUGCAAAGAAGGAACAUAAAAGACAUCUCGAAGUAAAAGUAUGAAGCCAUUCGCGAGCUCUAGAGGAAGAUCUCCAACAGCUUCAACUUUUUCUUCAACUCCAUUGGCAACUCUAAUGGUGCUUUCUCUUCUUUGCGUAGUCCUCGUCGAACGGAAUGCCUUUAAACAAUUACAAGCAUGAAUAGUUGCUCCAGAAUCAAUCCACCAUGUGGAUCUAGAGUAACCAACAUAAUGAGAUUCAUUUACAAAUGUAAUAAUGUUCUCACCUUUCUUUGCCAUGAUCAUUUUCAAAAAGUCAGGACAAUCUUUCUUGUAGUGUCCUGUCUUCUUGCAGUGGAGACAUUGAUCUUUCUCAACAGCGAACUGUUGUUGUUGAGGCAGAUGCUGAGACUGUUUACCUUUUGAGGUGGGAGACUUGUGGUUCUUUUUCUUAUCUUUAACAUAGUUUAUUGAACCACCAUUUGAUUCUUUGAUUCUCUCCUCCUCUUGCACACAAUUAGCAAUGAGCUUCUCAAAGUUCCAUUUCUCUGGACUUAUGUUGUAGUUGACAAUAAAAUUGUCAAACUGCUUUGGCAAUGAGGCCAUAACCAGAUGGACCAGAAAGUCAUCUGUUAUGCCCAAAUCCAUUGGCUUCAAUUUGGAAGCCAUGUUGCUCAUUCUAAGUAUGUGGUCUCUAACACCACCUCCAUGGUACCUUUCUGUCACAAGCUGCUUGAUCAGCUGUGUAGCAUAAGUCUUUGAAGAGCCAGUAAACUGACUCUUUAUUCUUUCAAGGUACUCUGAGACAGCGUCACACUCUGGGAUCGAGCCCAAUAUGGUAGGCUCAAUUGUAUUCUUUACCACAGCCAAACAUUUCUUGUUGGCUAAGGACCAUUUCUUUUGUUCAAUGUCAUACGACAUGACGAGAGGAGCAUUGUCCCUCUGUCUCUUUUGCCAGUCAGCAUCUGACUCAUUUUCACCUCUGACAAGGUCAGCAGGUUCUAUAGGACAUGGGGUAGUCAAUACCCAGUCCACCUCUCCCAAGAUAAAAGCAAGGUCGAGUUUUCUUUUCCAUUCUGCGUAGUUAUCUCCUUUUAGGGUCGGAAUAUCUUUAAUGCAACCCAUCAAGGAGUAGCCACCUGAAAUAAUCAUGUGCGGUGAGAACAAAAUUAACAUUAAAAUAUUAUGCAUUAAGCCUACAUCACCGUUGGGCAGAAUUAGACAUAACACAUAUAACCAUAACUAUAAUAUUGCAAUUAACAACGUUGGUCAGAAAAUUACAACAUCAUAGCACAUAAUUAAUGUUCCUAAAAUUAAAUUCUCCCGUUGGUUCGAAAUUUAAUUUUAGAAACACUAAUUUUCAUCAAUUUCAUCUAUUUGCAGCGGAAGACUAUAUAAAAUCAUAUGAACAGUAGCAAAAUCUCUGUAAUUCUCUCUCUGUGAAAAUUCUCCCGUUGGUUCAAAUUUAAACUGAGGUAAAACAUGCAAAAAUCUAUUCAAAAUUCUAUUGAAAUUUGCAUGAAAAAUUGACAAAAUAAAAUGGAAAAAUUGCUACUGUUCUCUUUUAUUCAUUUUCGGCCCCGGAGGGACCUUAUAUGGACUUUUUCCGGCCUUUGCCGGUCGGCCCAUGGCCACCUUGCGCGCGGGCGAGCGCCCCCUCCCCUCCCCCAGGCCGCAACCUGGGCCUGGGCCGGGAAAGCCGCCGCCGCGCGCUCCCCACUUGGGCCGAUUUCGGUCCGGCCGCCGCCGGCCGUCCGAUCUUAGGGUUUGCGAUCGGACGGCCGGGCGCCGAAAACGGGGAUCAAAACCCCUCGUGCCCCGGCCGGCCGCCGAAACCCUAGCUUCUCCUCUCUUUCUCUCUCUCGGGCGGGCGCGGUCGCGCCGAGCGGCGUCGCCGACGCCGGCGGCCCUCGCGCCGCCGCGCCAUGGCCGGCGCUCCUUUCUUUUCUCUUCUCCGCUCCCCCCACCGUCUCUAACCCCCACCGUGUGAGAGAGAGAUGGCGACGACGGAGAUGGCGGCGCCGCCGCGGGCCCCCUCGCCGGCACGCGCGUGCAGGUGCGCGCGCGGCCGUCGAGUGGCUCCUAGGCGGCGCCUCUUUGCCCCUCCCCCCCUCCGUUGCCGGCGUUGACGACGGCCGGCGACGAGGUAAGAAUUAGGGUUAGGGUUUUUGGUUCUUUUGAUCCGUGCGGAUCUUGUGCUUUUCUUUCUUUGGAUUUCUUUCCCCGAAACGAUCUAAACACUAGGGUUGCUCUGAUACCAUUGUUAUACUUUGCUCUAGGAUCACCUAGGUUAGAUCUAGUCGGGUGGUUCUAUUUGGGUUUGAUGAACGACAUUGUAGAUGAAAGGGAGAGGGUUUAGAUACCGACCGGUUGAGGAGUUCGUGGAGGAAGAGGCGCCAGACAUCGUCGUUGUCGUCGCGGCUUGACGUGGAUGCGGCGCCGGUGAGGUCGACGGUGAUGACGGCUGCGGCAGUGGUGGUCGUAGACGUCCCGGCGAUGAGGCGUGGCGCGGCGGUGGCGUUUCCCGUCACUGGCUGCGCCCCCUCUCGAUCGGAUUAGGGUUUUGUGGGGUGGAGUUGGCGGCGGCGGUGAAUCUCGUACGAUGUGCCGUGCCGGCCUCCACCCCUCUUUUAUAUGGCGCAGUGUGACGGGGGCCCACCAGCCAUUGGGCUGGGCGCCCCCGAUCAGGGCGCGGUCAAGGCCCCCUUGAGCCGUUGGGCUCAAGGGGAGAGAGAUCUAUCUAACAAUUGGGACCCCAGCAGCUGAGGUACAUGACCGUCCUCAGCCCCUCCUCGGCCUUCUCCGCUCUCCUCCUCUCCGCCACCGCCGCCGCAGAAGCAGGCAGCUUCUUGCCCUGAGAGACGCCGGCGGCGUUGGCCUUGGCUGCUUUGUGGAUGGACCGCAGCGCGUAGUUCCAGCGGCAGAGUCCGCCCUGGUCCUUGAGCGCCUCCACGGCGCCCACGCUCAUCGCCACCAUCCACGACGCCUUCGCUGCACCCGCCAUUGAUCGAGCUCUCUUCUUUCUUGCUAAGAUCGACCGGAUUGUCCUGUGGUUUCUUGCUCCUGAUUUGGUUUGCAGUAGAGUUGUUGCAAUGCUGAGUAGUUGAUGCUGUGCUGGUGAGAAAGAGGGAACUCGGGUUAUAUAGAGGAGGGUGUGGAGAGGAGAACGACGGGUUGGGCGAAACAAGGAGGCGCCGCGCGUUGGUUUCCCAGGAUACCGGGUGCUUUGCUCUGCUUGAUUACGCCGGAAUUCGCUUUCGUCCAGGCUCGGUGGCCCGCAUCCACCUCAUCUCGAGGCGUCUCUGUUGGCGGUAUGGAAGCUGGUUGUCCGUUGCGAGGGUCCACAUGAGCAGUGUAACCGAUGAGGACGCGUGUCACUUGAGAUGCCACGAAGGGCUAGUGUCUGCAUGGGCCUGAGUUUUGUGUUUAGCUCAGCACUGUAAACCAUUCUUCCUCCUUCAGCAAUAGUUAUUCAAUCAUCUAUUCUAUUAUUAUUAUAUACUAAAAGUCCAUGAAACUUUCUAUAAACGCUCUCAAGCCGCCACGUGGCGCUCUAAUAAAAUAGAGAAAAUCCUAGAAAUUCUAAGAAAAAAGCAAAACAUCUAUCCCUUAAUUUUUACUUAAAUUGGUAGGUCCAAUAUUAUACACCGUUAGAUAAAAUUGAUCUUAAAACAAACUAAAUACCAUGGUCCCACCUAUCCUCUUCCCACACAUUGGCAGGUGUAGUAUAUACGUACGUACAUACGUACGCCUCCUUCCCCCCCCUUUUUUUUUCCUUUUUUUCUUUUUUUUCUUAUUUUUUCCAUUUAUAUAUAUAAUGGAUAUAUUUUUAAAUAAUUAAUCAUAAUUUUACAAACAAAUAAUCUACCAUCAUAUAACUUAAACCGGUGUACUUUUUUACUUUGUACUACUAUUUUCAAAUAAUGCACUAUUUUAAAAUAAAUUUUACACAAUUAUAUCAUGUAUACUAAAAGUCCAUGAAACUUUCUAUAAACGCUCUCAAGCCGCCACGUGGCGCUCUAAUAAAAUAGAGAAAAUCCUAGAAAUUCUAAGAAAAAAGCAAAACAUCUAUCCCUUAAUUUUUACUUAAAUUGGUGGGUCCAAUAUUAUACACCGUUAGAUAAAAUUGAUCUUAAAACAAACUAAAUACCAUGGUCCCACCUAUCCUCUUCCCACACAUUGGCAGGUGUAGUAUAUACGUACGUACAUACGUACGCCUCCUUCCCCCCCUUUUUUUUCCUUUUUUUCUUUUUUUUCUUAUUUUUCCCAUUUAUAUAUAUAAUGGAUAUAUUUUUAAAUAAUUAAUCAUAAUUUUACAAACAAAUAAUCUACCAUCAUAUAACUUAAACCGGUGUACUUUUUUACUUUGUACUACUAUUUUCAAAUAAUGCACUAUUUUAAAAUAAAUUUUACACAAUUAUAUCAUGUACCUAUCAAAUAAACAAUAUCUAUAUUAACUAAUUUAUACGUGCACUAAAACUGAUGGCCCCAUUAUAUAAAUCAUCGGAUCUACUUUUUAUUACAUUGGUCUAUUAUUCUCACGUAAUGCACUGUUUCAAAGUAAGGUCUACACCAUUAUAUUAUGUACCCAUUAAAAUAACAAUUUAAAAUCUAUAUUAACUCAUUUACACUUACACUAGAACUGGUGGACAUAUUAUUAUAAUCAUCGGAUCUAUUGUUUGCUAAUAAAUAAAGCGUCCGAAAUUCUCUUUUUGCUCGCUGCACAAUAUACGUCUGCACCUUUGCCUUUCGCACAUGUAACAAAGCGCAGUGUCUGAGACAUCUAAGGUGAUCACAACCGAUGUAGCGCUACCGUUUUGCCACAUAUCAAAUCAUAUAUGGAGAUGAUUAAUUUUAUUAAUAACAUGAAAAGAAAAUUAAAGGUGUGAUGCAGCGAUUAAUUAUUUUCCCGAUUCCAUAUUUUGGAUUUUUGUUUGCACGCUUUUUAAGUUUCUAAAUGGUGUCUUAUUUAAACAACAUUUUAACGUUUUAGAAGUCAAUUCAUUCGUUUAUACCCUCAAAUAGCUAUCACAUAAAUUAUAUAAUUCAUCAAUUUCAGCUAUCCUAAACCUUACUACAUAUUUUUUUUUCAUGCAAGUCAUGGUGAUUAGUAAAUUGGUGAUCAAUGGAUUAUCGAAGUCGUAAGAUGAAUAUAUAAGAGUUACUCUGAACAAUUGUAAAUAGGUGUCAAAAUUAAUUGCUAUUAGUUAGACAUCUAAUGGCUUGCUAGCCACAAAAUUAAUUUCUCUCUACAUUUAUAUAAACAAGGACGAAGUUGGAACAAAUAUUACCAUAUAUCCCAUACAUAUAUAUUGCGCAGUUAAUAUUCUAAUUAGUCAUUUAAAAUUUCUUAAAAUGCUCUCAAGCUGCCGCGUGGUGCUCUAAUAAAUUAGGGCAAAUAUUAGAAAUUCUAAGAAAAAAAAUAAAAUUAUCUAUUACUUAAUUUUCACUUAAAUCGGUAGGUCCAAUAUUAUAAACCGUUAGAUUAAAUUGAUCUUAGAACAAACUAAAUAUUAUGGGGUCCCACCUCAGCAUAGGUGCGCACCUACGUGCGCGGGUUCGUACGCAUCCCCUCCCUUUUUUUCAUUUUUCUCUUUCUUCUUUUUUCCCAUGCAUAUGCUUCCCUCCCUUUAUUACUAUAUCACACGCCUUCAUGAGAUGAUUUAAUCAAAAGAGUUUUGAAUAUCUUGCACUCGCAUUUUUCAUUUGCGGCCAUACUACACGGUAUGUAUAUAGAUAGACUGUAUGAUAAUUAACUACCAAUAGUUUCUUAUUUACUCGAGAAAAAAACAUGAUUUAAAAGUUGUAAGUACUAAACCCAUCUCCUACUCAAAAGUUCGUGAAUGGUUUUCUAAGAUACCUUAAGAAAAAUAGAACCCUUAAAUUAUUAUAAAAUAAAAUUAUCCAAACUUUAGUUUGCCCUAAAUCUAUGAGACAAAAUUUUUGAACAAACAAUAAUCUUACCUUUUAAUAAUAUAAGUGCCCGCGCAUACGCGCGGGCCACCUUCCUAGUUUCUUUAAUUUUUUUUUCUCCCUCAUUGUCAUACACAGGUAAAACUUCUUCAGUUUAAGGAAACAAACGAUGCUUUCUGCUCCGCACUGUCUCGCUUUCAAAGUUUCAGCAAAAUCUGCCAAAUCUACUACAGUACCUUUUUGUGAUUCCCCUGCAUCCUAGAGUCUGUACUUGCACUAAUGGGAAAGAAAUUUGUGCUUUUAUUCGUGGUGAACGAGUAAACUAAGGCUGUGUUGGCUCAGGCGUGUUCCUAACCAGAACGGUGCACACAGAAAAUAGAACGAUCCAUUAGCGUAUGAAUAAUUAAGUAUUAGCUAAUUCCCUUUUCAAAAAUGGAUCAAUAUGAUUUUUUUAAACAACUUUCGUAUAGAAACUUUUUACAAAAAAUACACCGUUUAGCGAUUUGAAAAUCAUGCGCACAAAAAACGAGGGAGAUGAGUUGGAAAACCUAUGGUAAAGAACAUAGCCUAAGACCAUUCACAGGGCAUUUUGCCGGACUUCGUAUGCCAUAUAGACCCAAAAACACCAAAACACAAUGUUAGCCACAGGUUUUCACGGUGCUAUAUAGUCUCAAGUAGGGUCUAUAUAAAUAAAAAAAGUUUCUCAGUUUACUUUUCCCCAUACUCUCCCCAUCAACUGACGCUUUCUUUCCCCCUCUCUCUCCUCAACACGAAGCCAGCGGAGCUCGGGGUCGAGGAGACAACCGUAGUCGGCGCAGAUCGGAGGACGACGAUGGGCUCCGCAGCGGCGGGCCAAGCGGCGACGGCGACGGCCGUGGGCGGGGAGCCACCGCAGCCGCGCGCCCGCGCCCCACCUCUUCAUCCGCCGCGGGCGGGAAGCCGCUGCCGCCGCCAUGCCCCCCUUUCCGCCGGCGCCCCUAUGGGCUUUCACAACCGGCGUGGAACGGGAUGUCAUCGAACUCGUUGGUGUGGAUCUGGUGGUGGACGACCUCAAGCUCCUCUCCGGCAGCUUCUCACCCCACCGUCGUCGCGGCUCUUCCUCCCCCUAGUUGGCGCCGCUCUCUCCUUCACUGAUAGCACGACGUCAGUGGGAGCUUGGACGCGGCGCGGAUGCGGUUUCUCCGGCGAGCUUCUCUGCCCCCCUCUCUCCGGCUUUCUCGCCACGGAGCGAUGCAUGUGAUUCGUUUUUCUCUGACAAAAGUUGUUACGCUCUAACGUGGCUCUCGGAACUAAAGAAGAAUGCGCGAACCAGGUGUAGUCACGGGCCCCACCUCCAUUUCUCCUCCACACAUGCAUUUUGCUAACGUGGAUAAAGAUUACCACACGCCAACUCACCGCACUGUGAAAUGUCCUAAUGAGCAUUUCUUCUCACGCACCAACUCGCAUCACACGAGCACACCAUUUUAUGCGGGUGACGAGACCGGAGUUGUGGGAGGCUAGUACUAGCUUGGACCGAAACCCGAGGCUCGGAGCACAUGGUUUCCAUGUUUACGGAUGCACUGUAAUCUAGGCAUACAAUCCAGACCCCUUUCCGCCCGAAUCUGAUCCAAUAUCUCCUGAAUAGGUCUCGUUUAGACCGAGUUUAGUUCUAAACUUUUUUUUAAAACUUUUAACUUUUCCAUCACAUCAAAACUUUUCUACACACACAAACUUUUAAUUUUUCCAUUACAUCGUUCCAAUUUCAACCAAACUUUUAAUUUUAGCGUGAACUAAACACACUAGUACACAAACUGUGAAAGAAACUGCAACUUUACUCCCUCCAUUUUAAAACAUAAGUGAAACUAUAAGAGAAUUUAUUUGGAUUUCAGAUUUACUAAUACUAUGAUAUAUCCAAUUCUACCAAAAACUCAUAUUUUGAUAAGGGGAGUAAACCGAAAUCUCUUUUAUUUUGAUGAGGGGAAAUACAUCGUUUUAAAUUGGUCAAGAAACAGGGCAUCAGGAUUGGAUGAUUCAUUGAUGUGUUGUAAAGAAGGAAAUAAGAAAGAGUCAGUUUUUGCGCUCUUUUCGGUCUCGGUGGUUCUAGAGUCCAUCCUUUCGGAUGACCGGCUGUGGUCGUUAGUGGACGUUGCUUCCUUUGGGGACUUGUUAGGAGUACAGCGUGGUUCUGCCUCCCUUCCGCUGUUUGGAGUAGUGUAACCCGUCGUACGAGUUUUUCUUUUUCUUCCUUGUUUUUUUUGUCUCUGUUUUCUUCUUUCCUUGGUAUAGACCGGUUUGGCUGAUUGCGUAACAAGAACUCUAUCUAUCUAUUAUCUAUCUUCUAUCUAUCUAUUAUCUAUCUUCUAUCUUCUAUUAUAUACUAAAAGUCCAUUAAACUUCCUAAAAACGCUCGCAUGCCGCCACAUGGCGCUCUAAAAACGCUAUCAAGCUGCCACAUGGCGCUCUAAUAAAAUAGAGAAAAUCUUAGAAAUUCUGAGAAAAGAAAAAAACUAGCCCUCGAUUUUCAUUUAAGUUGGUGGACCCAUUAGUUUACACCGUUAGAUUAGAUCCAUUAUUUAAUAGUAAUCUAUCUCUCCUAAUUUACCAUGUAAUACUUACCUAAAUAUAAUGGCCGGAAUAAGCCAAGAAGGCAUAUACGUACGUACGAGUUAAAUAGAAAAAGCAUACUGCAUGUAUACGUACUAGGUACUACUGGAACUUCCUCUGUAUUUUUUAAAAAACAUUGCCAACGUUAAAUAUUUAGUGAAACUACCGAAAGAAAACAACGAUUUUAAACUAGAUUUUUCUAUUAUACUUCCUCUGGAUUUUUUUUAUUUUCUUUAUGAUGAUCAACGUCAAAUAUUUAAUGAAGGUGGUAGCAUAAGAAAAAUAUAUUACUUCAUAAAACAUACACACCCCAAAAUAGAUCUAUAAUAUAAUAUAAAAUAUCAAAUAAACAUAUCAUUUCACACCACAAUUGUUGAGUAUAGAUAGAUUUUAUUUGCAUCAGUGGGUCUACAUUGAUAGUUCAAGAUGAAACAAUGAGUAAUUAAAAUAUUACUUGGGACAUAUUGUCAGAAACUCAAAUAAAAAAUGUAUUGUUUAAAAAUAUGUUGCAUUUUUUCUCGCAAAACAUAGUUAGCCGUUAAUGACUCAAUUAAUAUACGCUUUUGAUUUGUACAUAUUUAGUAAUAAAUUUAAGGUUGAGUUCUAAAGUGUUUAUCAGAUUGGCUCUCCCUCAUUUAUCUUGAGCAUGUUCUUCGAACUAUUAAACUGUGUGUGUGUUUUGCAAAUAUUUUCUAUAAUUUUUUUAAAACUAUCUAUUUUAAUGUUUGUAAUAUUUAAUACUUAAUUAAUAUUGCGUUGAUGACCUACAUUGUUUUCCGUGCCCGGCAUAAGCUCAACCAAUGAGAUAGAAUGUAGUUUAAGUAGGAGAUAAAUUAGAUUAUUUACUAUAUAAUUUAAAAUUAAAUAAUCAAGUUAACUACAUUAUUAAAAAAUUUCAUUACUUUGGAUCAUAUAUAUUUAAGAAAAAAGCAAAUAAGUUUUGUUGUCUCCUUGCUAUUUCUUAGCUAUUAACUAAAAUAAAAACAAUAGACAAUGUUGGAUUUUUUUUUGAAACACCGCCCGCGCACACCCUACCCUUUUGAGUACCUCCAAAAGACUAAGCCAGCACAUUUUGAGACUGACGAUGUCACCACGGGCGUCUCGCUGUCGACGGGUAUGUCACCUACCACUGAAAGAAUAAUUAGUCGUAACUGCGAACACCCAUGUCAAGUCUAGGACUUGAACAUGGGCAUGUUUCACCAAAAGAAACCUAACCAAUUAAUUGAGCCACGCUCACUUCGCAAUAACGUUGGAUAUUAAAAUAACCAUAAUUUUUCAGCUACAUUACUGGAAUACUUAUAUGCCUUUUAGACCGGUGAACUAUUAGUUAUAACCGUUAGAUCUAUCUUAUAUAAAAGUUAAGCAUGUAUCCAUGGUACAUGAUAUUUCCAAAAUAUUAUUGUGCAAUUAUAUUUCGUUAUUAUCGUAUCCAUAUUAGGUUGCAUGGAGCCUCUCACCCACCCUACUUGAAAUGUUCAUAGAUGGAUCACCUCUCAAAUUACAUCAAUCGUAUUAGCUUAUAUAAACCCAUACAUUUAAUGGAGCUUCAUGUCCCACCCAAUUCAUCUCUUAAUGAACUAUUAUAAUAGAUAUCCAUUUACUUUCGCUGACAUGUAUUCUAAAAAAAAGUCUACUUUAUUUUUAAAUGAUAAAGAAGAUUAUAAAUAAUUGCUUAUAGAUAUUAUUUAAAUAUGAUAUUACUAAUAGGUUAGAAACUUAUUAAGCAAUUAAUACUGAUGAAAACAAUUUAAUAUCUCACGGCAGAUGUUCUCCGUUUAAUAUUUCGCUCUUAUAUUUAUCUCAAACAUAGCGUACGAUGCAUGCCCGCGCAAAUGCGCGGGCUACCUUCCUAGUUAUUCUAAUAUAUUGAUGUGCAAUCUUCAUUCGCGAAAAAAGAAGGAAACAAGAAAGAAUUAUCCACAUAGGAUUGAAAUUAAAUUGAUGGCACCACUGCCAAGUUGAUCAUGAUCCCAUCGGCAAUUCAAACGUACUAGAAGAAAUUGUAGCUAUCCAGUAGAAGUAGAAGUAUGAGUACUACGCCAUGUCCAGGAGUACUAGUGCUUUGUAGCACUAUGCCAUGUCCAAUUAUGUUUAUUUGUUAUAAUCAAGGGGCAGGGUUCGUACGGUCGUCUCGUUUUUGUCAUGAUAAGUAGUUCUUCCCCUUCAAAAACCAAAUCACGUACUGCAUGCUACAGGAAAUGCUUGCCAAGAUCUCAAAAGCAUUUUGAACCCAUGAGGCAUCGAGACACCAGUAUACUCAAGUAACAGAAGUUUUCAUCAUCAUCAUCUUCGUGGUAUAUACAAUCAGGAGGAAUUCAACAAGCAACCGGCAAGUCUCAGCCAUGCUUCCCCUUCCAAACCCGCUCUAUCCUACUACUAUUAGCUAGCUAUAGUAGACAGAGCUAUACUAAUUGGUGCUCCAGCAGCUGAUGUACAUGACCGUCCUCAACCCUCCUCGGCCUUCUCCGCUCUCUCUCUCCGUACGCCGCCGCGGAGCAGGCAGCUUCUUGCCCUGCGAGACGCCGGCGCGUUGGCCUUGGCCGCCUUGUGGANGGACCGCAGCGCGUAGUUCCAGCGGCAGAGUCCGCCCUGGUCCUUGAGCGCCUCCACUGCGCCCACGCUCAUCGCCACCAUCCAAGACGCCUUCGCUGCACCCGCCAUUGGAUCGAUCUCUUCUUUCUUGCUGAGAAUUGGACCGGAUUGUUUGUGAUUUCUUCUUUUGGUUUGCAGUGAACUAUUGUAUGCUGUGUUGAGGAUGAGGAGGAAGGAGAGGGGCGGGUUAUAUAGAGGAGGAGGGCAGGAGGCUGUGGAGAGGAGAAGGACGGGGUUGGGGCGAAACAGGAGGCGCCGCGCGUUGGUUUCCCAGUAUACCGGGUGCUCUGCUCUGCUUGAUUAGGCCGGAAUUCGCAUUCGUCCAGGUUCGGUGGCCCGAGUUGUCUCUGUUCGCGGUAUGGGAGAUGGUUGUCCGUUGCGAGGAGCCCACAUGGGCAGGAGUAACCGAUAAGGACGCGUGUCGCUGCAGAUCCACGCAGGGCCAGUCCUGUAUGGCCUAAUUUUGGGGUUUAUGAAACUUAGACGAUCAGCUGUGAGCUAUUUUUCCUCUCUCAGCAACAGGUAAAACUUCUUCAGAGUAAGGAACAAAGCAAUUCUUUCUGUACUGUACUCCUACCUAUCUCGCUCUCAAAGUUUCAGCAAAAUCUGCCAAAUCUACUACUCCCUCCGUUUCGAAAUGUUUGACACCGUUGACUUUUUAGCACAUGUUUGACCGUUCGUCUUAUUCAAAAAUUUUUGUGAAAUAUGUAAAAUUAUAUGCCNUACAUAAAAAUAUAUUUAACAAUGAAUCAAAUGAUAGAAAAAGAAUUAAUAAUUNCUUAAAUUUUUUGAAUAAGACGAACGGUCAACAUGUGCUAAAAAGUCAACGGCGUCAAACAUUUCGAAACGGAGGGAGUAUAAUAUGAUUCUGGAUCCUGUACUUGCAUUCUUUGGUGAGCGAGUAAACAAGUGAGCAUUUCUUUUCACGCACCAACUCGCAUCGCCCGACGACGUUUUCUUCGGGUGAUGGUGAGAGCGGAGUUGUGGGAGGCUGCUGGACAGGGGAAACCAGAGGCUGGAGCACAUGGUUUUCCAAGAUGUCAGGGGCUUAAUAAUUGCAUAAUACUUCUCGUUCCAGCUUAAUUUAUUGAUGCAUUGCAUUCUGGGUAUGCAAUAGACAGAAGACACCUGUGCUUUUCCGCACCAGUCUGAUGACUCUGAUCCAAUUCCUCCGACUCAAUAUCGUUUAGCACAAACUGGGAAAGAAACUGUAUUGUGAUUUUGCUACAUCAGUUUAAUUUGGUAAAAAAAAGAAUGGCAGAAAUUAGGAUUGGUUGAGUGGUAUAACGAAGGAAACAAGAAGGAAUUAUUCAGAUAGGAGUAUUCAUAGGACUGGAUAAAUUGAUGGCGCCACUGCCUGAUUUUCGUGCGUGGUAAUGUAUUGACAACCUGAUGACUGAUCUCUGAUCAUGAUCUCAUCAGCAAUUCAACUUUCAACGUGGAUGUUUAUUGUUGUAAUCAAAGUGCAGGGUUCAUACUGUCGUAUCAUUUUUGUCAAGAUAAAUACUAGUGGUUCUUCCCCGUCAAAAUCCAAAUCAUGUACAACCAUGAAAAAUGCCUGUCAAAAUCUCUCAAGGCAAAAGCAUUGAUAACCCAUGAGACAUCGAGACAUCAAGUAUACUCAAGUAACAGAAGUUUUCAUCAUCAUCAUCGUGGUAUAUACAACCCGGAGGAAAUUAACAAGCAACCGGCAAGUCUCAGCCAUGGUUGCCACUUCCAAGUUCCAACCUGACUCCUAUAGCAAAGCUAGUAGUAGAAGAGUAGAAGGCACAGCUAUACUAAUUGGUACUCCAGCAGCUGAUGUACAUGACCGUCCUCAACCCUUCCUCGGCCUUCUCCGCUCUCCUCCUCUCCGCCACCGCCGCCGCGGAGGCAGGCAGCUUCUUGCCCCGCGAGACGCCGGCGCGCGCGUUGGCCUUGGCGGCGCGGUGGAUGGACCGCAGCGCGUAGUUCCAGCGGCAGAGCCCCGCCUGGUCCUUGAGCGCCUCCACCGCGCCCACGCUCAUCGCCACCAUCCACGACGCCUUCGCUGCACCCGCCAUCGAUCGACGAUCUCUUCUUGAGCUUCCCGCUGUUAUACUGAUCGCUGAAUUCAGGGGACUAGUAGCGAGCAGUGAAGUACUACUGAUAGGUGAUUGGUGAUUGGUGCUAUGUUUGAUGAGAAUCUGGUGGGGAGUGGACGGUGGGAUUUAUACUUGAACGGGGGAGGGCGACGGGGUCAUUCAGUGGUGCGGGCUGAAUCAGGUGUCCGCGCGCGUUGGUUUUCCCAGAUACCGGGUGCGUCCCGGCUCAGUGGUGGCCCGCCUCGUCUCGUCUAGUCUCGUCUGCUGCAUCAUCGGCACAUCGCGGCGGGGAAGCGGUUUGUCCGUCGCGUCUCGCGUGGGGCGGGGUGCGGGCGGAAAUAAGAUAGGAACAACGUUACGUGACGAGGACUCGUGCCCCACACAACUGUUGCAACUUGCAACAUGGAGUAUGCAACUGGGCUAAUGGGCCUGGAAUUUGGGCCGACGAAGCUGAACGCAGGUAGAGGGCCGAGUCUCACGAAGAUAGAAUUUUUUUCAUUUUUAAUUUUUUUUCUUUUAAUAUUUACAGAAAUAAUCUAUUGGCGCAAAAAAUUACAAAAAUAGACCCUGCCGUCCUAAUGGAGGGCGGCAAGCUGACGUAGCAGACGGCGGCUCGACGGCGCCGUCUGCAAAAAAUUGCAUUUAGCCCCUAAAGUUUGGCUGGUACUUUUUGCAUCUGGACCCCUUGCCGCCCUACUAUAGGGCGGUAAGGGGCCCAGAUGCAAAAAGUACUAGGCCCGGGCUGGCUUUUUUGCAUGGGGCCCCUUGCCGCCCUAAUAGAGAACGGCAAGGGUUUUCGUGAAAAAAACCCUCCCUCCCCCGUCUGUCGUCACCGCCCGUCCCUCCCUCGUUUGCCACGUCAGCUUGCCGCUCUAGUGGAGGGCGGCAGGGUCUAUUUUUGUAAUUUUUUACGCUGAUGGAUUAUUUCUGUAAAUAUUAAAAGAAAAAAAUUUAAAAAUAAAAAAAAUUCCACGAAGAUAUACAAGUGCCCUAUUGUGUCAAGCUUUUCGAUGCACAUGUCACACUCCAGUAAUCACGCGGUCGACACGAGGGAAUAUCCGUGUGAUUUUGGCUGCGCUCCCGGCUGUCGGCCUGUACGGCUGUGUGAUCUCCGAUCCGGGUGCUGGAAAUGCAGCGUUCUGCUUGAGUCAUUUUCUGUGUGCUAUAGGCAAUUGCCAAUUGACAUGAGCUUACUUGGUUCACUUGAUUUCUUCGUGCCUUGCACGCCGCCACUGCGAAGGUAAUGGAUUUUUCAGAGACUCGGAGUAUUGCGUUGAUUGGUGGCUUAAAAGUUUUAACUAUCGUUUGGUUCGGGUCAGGUGCGUUAAUUUGUUUAGCUGGCUAUUGGUAAAGUCGGAUCUGUGACAGAAGCACAUGAGUUGCGACCAGACUGCAGCUCCUCAGAUGCUAAACAAGUGACUGCAUAAUAAAAAUCGUUGGGCUGGAUGAGUUUGUCAGCUGAGGAGCACAUUUUCCUUUCCCUCCUAAAGCUAGCUGUUCGAAGUCAAAGAUCAAAUGCUAGCAGAUUGAGUUGGUAUGGUAUAUGCCUUGGUCCAACACAGUAUGCAUGCUCAUAUGAACUUCACCUCUUUGAGGCAACUGUUUUUCCAAAAAAAUGAAUUUUUUAUUUGCAUGUAAACUUCGUCGAUGUUAGAGAAGCUAGCAAACACGCUUUCUCUUGUCCAUGCAGCAUAUACAAUCCACUCUCCCUUUUCUUAAAAAAAAAAACUUAGUGCAGUAUGCUCAAUUAGACAAUUGAGGGUGGUUUUUGUCCCUCGAAGAAUGGGCAUACACAAUACACUCAUUUUGUACAUACCAAUUAAAAAAAUCAUAUUUUUUAGAAAAAUAAUAAGAUAGAUUAAACUUGUAAUAUUUCACUUUACGGACAUGAAAAUUAAAAUUGUAUCCAUAGAAGUGUACAUAAAACAAAUCACGACUGUAAAUAUAGUAUACACUUUUGAUCGUUAUUGUUUCUAUUUAUAUAAGUCGAAGUCAUUUUUUUUUUAAAAAAAUUAAUGUUUGUGUCUUUGGGUGACGGUGAGCUAGAGCGGAGUUAUGGGAGCUGGUAGGGAAAACCGUUAGCUGGAGGACAUGGCUGUGUUCGGAGUCCAGUGAUGGAAGCCAAUCCCUCCCGUACGGAAAACGAAGCGGUCCUUUAGCGCGUGAUUAAUUAAGUAUUAGCUAAUUUUUUUAAAAAAAAAUGAAUUAAUUUGAUUUUUAAGCAACUUUCGUAUAGAAAACUUUUUAAAAAAAACGCAUCGUUUAGUAGUUUAAAAAACGUGCGCGCGGAAAAUGAGGAAGAUGGGUUGGGAACAUGGGGAUGCAAAGACAGCUGAUGUGGUAGAGUCCUUGGAUAGACCAUGUGAGGCCGGUUUGGCUGUUCAAUGGAGCAUCCUGUUUAGGUAGGACUUGGAUUUAGGGCCUGAUCGGAACUGCUAUCUGCUGCUGCCGCUAUGGCUGUGGCUGUUUUUCAGCUGCUGCCGCUGCAGCCAUUUUUAGCUCUUGCAGCCACAGUUGCUGCAGCAGCAAGCAGUAUCGAUCACACCCUUUAAUUCCAAAUGCUGUGCCGUACGACGGUACGAGGUACGAGCAGGUCAGCGGGUCACCAGUGUUGUGUGAAGCCAAGCUGUAUUCACUAGCUCGGGAUAGUUGGCACAAACGGCAUGAAAAUGUGGCGCCGUAAAUAAGUGAAAUACAGCUGCGUACUUUUUGAACACGCUGCAAACAUGAGACGGAGAAAUUUCAAUGCAAAACGGAAAAUAAAACUGCAAACAUGCGACGGAGAAAACUCAAUGCAAAACGAAAAAAAAAAUGGGAGCCUGUCAGAGAACCUGAGAGCCAUCCUGGCCAGGCGAGGCCCGGCAAGAAACGAUCCUCUACAGCCGUGGGAUCAAAUCAGCCAGUGAUCCGGCCGUUAAUCACGCUCUGGCCCACAGGUCAUGCGUCAUCAACCAAGCUUAAGUGCUUGCCUCCUUAUUAGUCAAGGAUGCAACGGUACGAGCCUAUAGAACAGAUCCCGUUCAAGUAAGGUCGUGCCACGGAUCAUCUGCACAACUCUUUUAAAUCAGCUUUGAUCUAUGUGGAUAGCCGAGGUGGUACUAAUACUAGUCUUUGUUGUCGUCCAAUUGCGUAAUGGGCCGGCCCAUACUGCAAUACAUGUCCUGAAAGGCUUCAUGGCCCACUACGAAAUGCUUUUCUCCUACAGUUUAUCUUACUUCUUCACAUCACGUGGUUUCCAACGUACCCAGUGUUCCCGGCUUCCAGCAUUUGCUGGUAGCACCAGUAGAAGACGCCUGUCUUGUGCUAUGGUCCCUGACUGCACAUCUGAUUCCUCCAAGAUCCAUGCAUGCCUGAUAACUUUAAGUUGCUUCAGAAGAACUUUAAGUGAUCUGUUCGUAUGUUUAAAGAUUCCUUGAUAAAAUAAGUUGCAGUUCUGAAAAUCCUAGAACUUGGAGACCUGGAUGAAUUACUGUCAUCUGAACCAAAUAAGAGAUGGCCUUAGCCACUAGCUAGAGAGACUGAAAUUCAGGGGCAACAAAUCCACGAGCCAACGUGAUCGCAAUUCACAUGGCAAAAAAACCACGGGGCAAUUUAGUAACAAGAAAUUUUCAUCAUCAUCUUGAUAUAUAUACACAUCAAGGAAGCAACCGGCCAAAUCUCAAGCCAUGGUUUGCUACUUCAGCUCUAGCUACGUACUAGUAUCUCGAGUUUAUACACUAAUUAGUACUCCAGCAGCUGAUGUACAUGACCGUCCUCAACCCCUCCUCGGCCUUCUCCGCUCUCCUCCUCUCCGCCACCGCCGCCGCGGAGGCAGGCAGCUUCUUGCCCUGCGAGACGCCGGCGGCGUUGGCCUUGGCUGCCUUGUGGAUGGACCGCAGCGCGUAGUUCCAGCGGCAGAGUCCGCCCUGGUCCUUGAGCGCCUCCACGGCGCCCACGCUCAUCGCCACCAUCCACGACGCCUUCGCUGCACCCGCCAUUGAUGAGAUUGAUCCGAUGAUCUCCUCUUUAAAUUUCUCGCGCUGUUGUUGUUGUGAUUUGUGAACUGAAUUGAACGAUGCUUUGUUGUUGUUGUUGAGGAGGAGGGUUGGAGUGGAGCUGGAUUUAUACUGGAGGGAGGCCAGUGGGGGUGGCGCGAAACAGGUGGCCGCGCUCGCUGGUUUUCCCGCGAUACCGGGUGCUUCCUUCAGCCGCUUGCUCCUCGCUAUCUGUCCCGGCUGGGUUGGUGACUCACCAUCUUGGCGCCCGUCCCGUCUCGUCUUUGUCCCACACGCGCAAGUGCGCAACUGGCAGAUUCGUGGGGAUUCGUGGGGAUAAUAUGGGUUUAUAUGGAGUAAGGUGACAAGGACGCGCGCCACUAGCGAGCUGAUGCAUCCCACACAGUUCUCUUCUCUCGGCGCCUAAUCCUUUUUGGGCUCUCGAAUCUUAACAUGGACGAAUCUAAGGCCCAUGUGAUCAUACGAAGGCCCGGCCUGGCUGUGUGUCAAGCUAACGUUAUCCGGUUGCACACCACCUCUUCCUCCUGUCCCUCGUGUUUGUGUCACGUUCGAUUCUCCCAAGCUGAUCUUGUGUCGCCGGAAUUGAGCAGGGGGGGACGUGCCGCGACGGAUCGAGGCGAUGCGGCAGGCGGUCGGCUUGUGCAAGGCCCAUCAACUUCGGCCGGCCGCGCUGCUGUCCCCGCGGCCGUUGCUCCGGCGAGCGUCCCCCUGCCUCCCUGCAGGUGGUUACAAGUUACACUACCUCCCACUGCAUCGGUUCUUCGCGUGUGUGCUUACUGCUUAGUGCUAACUGGAUGCAAUUGUGCAGCGGGAGCGGGUGGGGAGCUCAGGAGGGCCAGCGCCGCGUCGCGGUUGGUGGUCAGGAGGAGAUGCCAAGAAGAGGAGCAGCAGCAACAGCAGGAGGAGGAAGAGCGGAGCAAUGGCGGUGGUGGUGAUGGGGAGCAAGAGCAGAGAACAUUUCUCAGCUUGGAGGAGGCCGGGCUGGUGGAGAUGUCCGGCCUCAGCACACACGAGCGAUUCCUCUGCCGCCUCACCGUAAGUGUGCAUCUCUACUGAUCGAUUGCAAAGAUAUUACAGUGGCGAGCAGAUUAGCAUAUCAAAGUUGUGAAGUUUAGGUGAGGUGUUUGUCUCAACGAGCCGUUGACGAUGACGAGUAACCAUGUGAUUUUUUGUGACAGAUAUCGUCGUUGAAUCUCUUGAGAGUGAUUUCGGAGCAAGAAGGCGUCCCCAUUGAGGAGCUCAACGCAGGCCUUGUUUGCGACUGGUUCGUCAAGGACAAGCUCAAGAGGGAGCAGAACGUGGGCUCAGCUGUCCUGCAGUGGGACGACCCUGGUUUCUAGCUCCAUCAUCCGUUUAUGGAUGAUGGUGAUUUGGUGGUCUUGCCGGCGUCUCCACCGAGAAACAGGGUUCAUCAAGUCAACAUUUUUCUCGGUUGAUAGAGCUCACUGAUCACUUUCUUUGAAUUAAAGAGGGUUCCUUUGUCUUGCGACACUCGUUGUGCCUAAUUGGGCUUUUUACAUGUCAGUACAUGACGACCUGUAUCACUUCCUUUGUAUGCCAGAGACCAAAGCCAGAAACACAGCUUAAUUACGAAGAAUCAGUUUCAAGAAUAUAUGGAUCAGAAAUUGCUGUCGGAUUGUUUUCAACUUUUCAUUUCUAGCAUUCAGUUGAACAUUUUACUCAUCAAUUUUCAAAGUACUUGCAAAUCCUAGAAAGCCCCAAUACUUCUUGUCGAUAGUGUAAGGCUAGGAGCUUGUUCAUAAGGUCAUCUGACUUCUUUUGGCAAACAAUAACUUCACGCAGGUGUUUUGAGUCAAGGAGAUACACCAAAAAUGACUUUAUGCGUGCUACAGAAUGUAGCCAAGUACAUAUGCCCAGAUGUGCCAAAAAAAAUUCCGCAAGUAUGGGGAGAUAUUACAGGCACGACAGCAAAUGCCAAGUAGCUAACAAAAGUAUUUGUACGUCCAUCAAACAGAAUUACAGUGGACCCUGGCCCAUGGGUGAAUCAUCGGCCAACAAAGAUGCCUACAAACACACAUAAUCACAGUACAUAUCUUUUGUUUCCUUAGGAAAUGAUUUCGCUGGACUUCUUAUCAAAAGAGUGAGUGCACCAGAUGCAAGUCCAACGGGCUCACCAACUCCUUCAGCCUCUCCAUUUCCUUCUGCAAUCACAAUAAUGCAACUUAUAUCUCUAUGCUCACUAUUCAGGCAUAAAAAAAAUCAAAACAGGAAAACACCAAAUGUCUGAGAUGUAUGAGUUCAUGUCAUAUUGCAUGCUGUUUCAGGCAUAAAAGAAUCAAAACAGGAAAAGAGUUGAUGUCAUAUUACAUGCUGUUUCACCAAGUAGGUUGUCUUAAAAGAAGAUACUUGGAUCUACAACAUAUCCAUUUUGCAGACAGAACAAUCAUUGACAGUUCGUAAGUGAAGCAAUCAUAACAAAUGAAACAGGGGGGAGAGCAGCAUCCCACAAAACAGGGAAUUAAAUCAUAACAAAGGCCCAGUAAAGCUGAAUGAAAACAAUAUCAUGCAACAGCGCAUUGCACACACCCUCAACUUAACAAGGGCCACAAGCAUGAGUUAAGAGAUAGUGCCUCAAAUUUAUCACUUGAUGUCAUACUAUCUACUGCUUCCUCAAGUAUGUUCUCCCUGAAUCAGGGACUUGAAUCCACAGAAUAUAUAUUUUGCAGACAUGAUCAUCGUUGAUAACAACUAGAAAAGGCACAAAACUCAGGGCAUGGCUCUUUGAUAGGAUACAUGAUGAGCACAACAAGACUUCCCUAUGACUAAAAAAUUCAACAGAAUAUCAAAUGCAUCAGAUUUAUCUGUUGAUGUCAUGUUAUCCACUGAUUUGUCAAGUAGGUUCUCCCUGAAACAGGGACUUGAGUCCACAGGGCAUCCAUUUUGCAGACAAUAUCAUCAUUCGCAAAAAACAUGAACAUAAGUUUGAAUACAUCUCUAUCAAGUAAUAAUGCUCAGUAAAAACUUGUAACAAAUAGGAGUACCAACAAGUAGGUUCAGACCUCAGUAACAGCCCAUUAAUCUCAUUAUAAUGUAGGCCCCCCAAGUAGGUUCUCCCUGACUAACAGGGACUUGGAGAAACCUACAUCUCACAUUUUGGGCACUGCAUCAUAGGUCACAUUCUAUUACCAUCUAAAAUAUCUUCUCUUACAUACAAGACUAUGGCUACAAAAGCGAGUUACAAUUCAAAAAAUCAUGAGCUACUUAAUAGUAGACUUCAGUUUAAAAAGCCCAUAUAACUCAUUACAAUGUAGGACCCCAAGUAGGUUCAAACCUGAAAAACAGGCCCUUGAAGCUACCUACAUCUCACACAUUGGGCAACUCUUCAUAGUCUACUAAUGAAACAAAAAAAAUACAACAGAUGGCAACUCAAAUAUUGCUUGAACAAGCUUGCACUAUAAUUAAGAAUACUGUAAAGAGGGCUUUCAAAUUUAUCUCAUACAAUUCAUAUAGCGUGAUAACCUCAGAAAAAGCAAUCAAAACCGUACUAAAUUACGCACCAAACAAAAGCAUUGAACAUGAUUGCCGAGAUUGUCUUAAACCACGUUUCUCAGCAAACAGAGACUUAAAAAAUAAUAAUUAAUGUGGUGAGACAUUUUAGAAGCAUAACCACCAGAUUACUGUUAUCUCCCACGUUAAACUCACCAGAAAUCGAUUUUUGCCUCCAUGACUGGGCAACCAUGAGAAAGAACAAUCUCAAGGAGCCAAAGGUGAGGAGAGGCACGCACAUGGCAAAUACUACCUCAAGAUUUCAUUCGAUUUUUGCACAUCCUCUAUAGCUAUAAUAAUAAACAAAUUAAUCAAGAGUCUUACCCAUCAUGAAUCGGUCUUCUCUGGCGAAUUAGAGGACGGCGGAGAAGACCCAGAUGCCGCGGGAGGAGCAUCGUGUGAGCAACAACCACCGGGGCCGUGAUGAUGGUGGUGGUGAUGGUGGUGCUUCUUGGGCUGCGGCUGCCGCAGCGGCUUGCGCAUGUCGUAGGCGUCCUCGCCGUCGGCGUAGUACUUGGCCUCGACGUCGUGGAUCUGGUACCCGAGCGUGGAGGUGUAGAGGUUGAAGGCCGCGCGGUUGGAGCGGCGGACGUGGAGGGAGACGUACUCGGCGCCGAACACCUGGUCCAUGGCAGCCUGCGCGGCGGACAUGAGCUUGGUGGCGAGGCCGAGCUUGCGGUGGGAGCGGAGCACGGCGAGGGAGGUGAUGUGGCCGUGGCAAGGCUCCGAGGGGUCCUCCUCCAUCUUCGCGAGCACGUAGCCGACGAUCCGGCCGCCGUAAUCCUCCGCCACGAACAGCAGCUGCGGCCACGACAGCAUGUGGUAGAGGUAGUACUUCAUCUGGUAGUUCUCCGGCAGGCACAUCAGGUUGCACGCCUGCAUCGCCAGCAGGUCGUCGAUCGUCGCCUGCCGUAUGCACACCAUCUUCGCCUUCGCCGCCGCCGCCGCCGACUACUUCUCCGGCGUGAUGUGGUGGUGGGUGAUCGCGAUGCGGACGGUGGUGGUGGCGGCGGCCUCUCCUGCGGAUUUAAUAGAGGUGAGGAGGGGAAGAGACCUUGACCUAACCCUAGAGGAAAACGGGCCGUGUAUAUGGAAAGUGGGCUCGUGUAUUGAUAUUAAUGGGCCUUGAUGGGCCGGCCCAUUGCUAUUGCUACAUCGAGAAGGGCGCGCACAACCUAGCCCACUCCGCCGCCGCCGCUCGUCCACAGCUCGCCGCCGCGGCGCCCCUCCCGGCGACGACUGAUGCUCCGCCCCCUAGCCGCCUCCACCCCGCCGUCCCCGAGCAGCUCGCCGACGCUGACCAGAGCAGAGGCCCGUACGACGGUCUCCGAACUGCUCGCGAAGUAGGGGAAGCCGCCACCGCGUUGUCGUCGCCUAAGCUUCGCCGGUGCUCGCAGGGUUUUGGUUUGGUUUGGUUUGGUCCGGUGAGUUCCUUUGCUUUGGUCAGAUAUUUCAUUAGUGGAUUAGUAUGAAAUUAGAGGAUGCUAUUCGGCUAAUAGAAUAUGGACGUAUGGAACCAAUCGUGGUGUUUUGAUAUCACAUUUUGCUGCUUGUUUACUGUUAUCGAUGCAGUGAGGGUUUGAUCAGGAAAGUGCUUGGGCUCAAGUCUGAAGCUGAACCAACACCGGCAAUGUGAGUUAUCAUGUUCAUGGUAUAUUUAAGCCAUUAGUAUCUGGUGGCUGGUGGAGCGAUGGUAUUAGAUAAGUACAUUGAUAUUGGUUGUUAUGUCGAAUUGCUUUGGGCUUUGCUUAGAAUGAACUAUUUGGUUGCACAGAGCAUCCUAUUAACUGUCACCUGAUACUUACACUGCGACAGACAUGACGCUUGACUCAUUAUAUAUUCACUGUCAACUUGUGUUUCAGGGGAGACGAAAGCAACACACUCCGUGUACUUGUGGCAACCGAUUGCCAUCUCGGCUACAUGGAAAAGGACGAGAUUCGUAGGUUUGAUUCAUUUGAGGCGUUUGAAGAGAUAUGCUCAUUAGCAGAGCAGAAUAAGGUUUGUAGGAGCUGCACAUUUUUCCAUUCUUUUCUGCUUGUGUUGCAAAAUUUAUUGGCCUGCUCAUUCUGUUGGGGGAUAACCUUCUAUUUAUGAAUUAUGAAUUAUAAUAUGAUGGAAAUCAUACUGAAUUGCAGGUUGAUUUUGUGCUACUUGGUGGUGACCUUUUCCAUGAGAACAAACCUUCACGUUCAACCUUAGUUAAGACCAUUGAGAUUCUACGGCGUUACUGCUUGAAUGACCAGCCAGUGAAGUUCCAGGUUGUCAGUGAUCAGACAAUCAACUUUCCAAACAGGUUUUGACGAUGAGUUAUAUCACUCUAUCAUGCCAUUUUUUUCUUGAGUGUACUCUAAAUUUGGUGAUCCCUCAAUGUAAUCUUUCAUAAAAGUGUCACUUUUGCUGAAAUUUAGGUUUGAUAUAUCAUACGUGUAUGCAGAUAUGCAUUUUCCCCUUAAUUUUCUUACAUGAAUUUUCUUGGUACAAUCACAGAUUCGGCCAAGUAAAUUAUGAAGAUCCAAACUUCAAUGUUGGAUUGCCUGUGUUCACUAUCCAUGGAAACCAUGAUGAUCCAGCUGGUGUGGUAUGAGAAUCUCGUUCUGACAUUCUGUUAUUAUGGUUAUUAUGCUUAUGAUGGGUGCCAGCUUUUCUCAUGCAUUCUUGCCCCUCUCUGUAGGAUAAUCUCUCUGCAAUUGAUAUUCUCUCAGCCUGCAAUCUUGUAAAUUAUUUUGGGAAGAUGGACCUUGGUGGCUCUGGUGUUGGUGAAAUAGCAGUCUAUCCUGUACUCGUAAAAAAGGUGCGCUACUUCAGCUGCAGGCAAACCAUGAACUCUCACAUGUUAAUCCUCUGUUUUUCCUGUUAUUUCAGGGUACAACUUUUGUUGCGCUCUAUGGCCUUGGAAACAUUAGAGAUGAACGAUUAAACAGGAUGUUUCAGGUGCAUUUCCAUUGACUUUUCUAAGAAUUUGAAGUUAAUUCGCAACUUGGCAGCACUAGAGCAAGAAACUUUCUUGAUCAUUUGAACAUUGAUAUCAUAUUUUUAUAUCAAUUAUUCAGACACCUCAUGCUGUACAAUGGAUGCGACCUGAAACUCAAGAUGGAAUGUCAGUAUCUGACUGGUUCAAUAUUCUUGUUCUUCAUCAGAAUAGGUAUGGGCGGUGAAUGAAUGGUGACAAACUGUAGUGGAAUGUCAGUAUCUGACUGGUUCAAUAUUCUUGUUCAUUUUUUUAUAAUCUUCAUGCCGCUUACUGAAAAGAAAAUUGAAACCUGAAAUCAUACAGGAUAAAAACAAACCCUAAAAGCGCAAUCAAUGAGCAUUUCUUACCACGUUUUCUGGACUUUAUAGUAUGGGGCCAUGAGCAUGAAUGCCUUAUUGAUCCCCAGGUAAUGACUUGGAUUUUAUUUGAUUUCUUUUUUAAAAAAUAACGUGAAUAUGCACUUGUCAUAUGAUCAAUUGUUUAUAGGAGGUACCUGGGAUGGGUUUUCACAUCACUCAACCAGGCUCAUCAGUUGCAACCUCCCUGAUUGAUGGUGAAGCAAAACCAAAGCAUGUUCUCUUGUUAGAAAUCAAGGUCCUAUUGAAAGCUCUCCUCUUCAUGUUGAACAAAACUUCAGUUUGGUGUUUUCUCAUUCCAUUUUUAUUCUUAAACAGGGAAACCAGUAUAGGCCAACCAAAAUACCUUUGAGAUCCGUUAGGCCCUUUCACUAUGCUGAGGUAUGAUACCCCUCAUUUCAUGCUUAUUUCAGUGCUUGGGUCUCACUGUCCUAAUAUAUAGGUUGUGUUAAAAGAUGAAGUGGAUGUUGAUCCCAAUGAUCAGGCCUCUGUUCUUGAACAUUUGGAUAAAAUUGUGAGUUUUCAGUUUUCCAUGAUUUGUUAUAAUCUUUUCCAUUUUAUUGAGAAGCAUGGUGGCAUGCUGGUGUGGAAUUGGUUCAACAUUGGCUUAUUUGCCCGUUUGUUGUCAGUCUAGUUUUCUUUGUUGAAUGAAGUCGUUAACCCUCAAUCUCAUAAUACUCAAUUGUUUCAGGUAAGAAAUCUUAUUAAGAAGAGUAGUCAGCCAACAGCCAGUAGACCAGAGACCAAACUUCCACUAAUUAGAAUCAAGGUAAAAAAAACAGAAGAGAUGUACUCCGCACAAAUUAAUCAAGACAGGAACAAUGAAAGUGCUCAUAUUGUUCUGUAGGUAGAUUACUCUGGGUUUUCAACAAUUAAUCCACAACGAUUUGGUCAGAAGUAUGUCGGGAAGGUAUCUGAGUCCCUAAUUAGGUUCUUACUCAGAAUUCUUACCUGAAUGAGCUUAUUUGAUAGCUUCUUGUUGUAAGGUUGCAAACCCCCAGGAUAUUCUUAUCUUCUCAAAAUCAGCAAAAAAGCGUCAGACUACUGGAGGUAUUCCUUUAUGUUUAAGAAAGACAGUGCACAAGUUAUUUACAUAGUGGCAGAAUGCAUCAAGCUAUGAGGAGCAACAGAUGCCAUGUUAUUCUGACUUUUUUGUUUAACUGACUAUGUCUAUGUAUAUAUACAGUAGGCAAUAUUGAUGACUCUGAGAAACUUCGUCCCGAGGAACUAAACCAACAAACUAUUGAAGCUUUGGUUGCCGAAAAUAACUUGGUACUUCUUGAAACUACAUAUUCUGUAUUAUUUUGCAGUUUUGCUCUUCUCCUAGGAGAAAUAAUUGCUGCUAUCUGUUUUUCUUGAUGGGAUUCCAUUUAGUUGUAUAUAUGAUGAUCAUAAAUGUAAAACAAAGAUCUUGCCUUUUUCCUAUACUGCCUUAUGCACUAAAUGGAUGGUAAUGUGUUUAUUCUUGACUCCUACAGUAUUAGGCUGAAAUAUAAUUAAAUUUUCAGAAAUAUAAUGGCAAGAAAGGUACUUCUGGCUAGGAGGCCCAUUAUGGUAGCUAUUGAAUAACAGCCAAUAAUUUAAUGAGCGACAUCUCUAUCUGGUCCCAUUACACUUCACCAUAUGAGCUUUUUACAAUAAUAGCCUGAGACUAACAGUGGUACUGUGAAACAAGGACUAUUUAAUUGUCUUAGUUGGGUUUGUGGGUCUGGAAUUCCUGAUUUUGUUCUAUAGAUUCUUUGGAUAGCUUCUUACAUCCUUCUUUUUUUUAAAAAAAAAUAUUAGAGUAACAAUAUAAGCUUCAUGACACAAAUCUUGUUUCCAGAAAAUGGAGAUUCUUCCAGUUGAUGACUUGGACAUUGCAUUGCAUGAUUUUGUGAGCAAGGAUGACAAGAUGGCGUUUUAUGCCUGUUUGCAGCGGAAUCUUGAAGAAACCAGAGUAUGCUUUGCUACAUUUUCUAUUGUUGGUUUUAGUUCUUUUUUUUUAUCAAAGGGCCGUAGCUCUCCAUUUCCAUUAAUAGAAAUGAGACUAGAAUACAGAGGUAGCCUUUUUUAGUUCUUAUUUGAUUGCUUGCUGCCUGAUAAAAUUGCAUGCAUCUAAAAUUGAAAUCCUUUGUUGAAACCUGCAGACUAAAUUGAAUUCAGAGGCAGAUAAAUUUAAAAUAGAGGAAGAAGAUAUAAUAGUCAAAGUUGGCGAGUGCAUGCAGGUAUUUGGAGCAAUCUACUAUUGUUCCUAUGAGGUUGUGGGGUGAUUAAAAGGUUAAUAUUUUUAACUACUUAGGAACGUGUGAAGGAAAGGUCCCUCCGCUCCAAGGAAGAUUCACGGUUCACGUCAAGCUCUCAAAACUUGGUGGUUUCAAUGUCCUUAUGCCCUUAAUGUUGUAUGCCAUUUUUUCAUUGUUGCUGAUUGUUUGUUGCUCUUAUGAUACUUGACCAGGAUACUGGAGGUAGAUCUGUUACAGCUCAAAGUAACCUGAACUCUUUCAGUGAUGAUGAAGACACCAGGGAGAUGCUUCUCGGUGCAAGAACAACUAAUGCUGGAAGGAAAGCAUCUGGAUUUACAAGACCCUCUAAAGAUGCUACCGAUGUUGCCAAAACUGGAACUUCCAGAAGGGGCAGGGGAAGAGGGACGGCCUCAAUGAAGCAGACCACUCUGAAUUUCAGCCAAUCAAGGUUAUUAAAUUAAUUGCUACCUUGCAUUUAUACCAUAACUGUGCAACCUAUGCCAAAAUGGAAUAGCCAUGGUACAGUCUAAUUUGCAUUUUGAGUGUUAAAGGUGUUUGAAAUCGUGUGCCCUGGUUUUAACUCUGCAGUAGAUGCUCCAAUGCUAAUUUUACCAUCCAAUAUUUUGCAGGUCAAGUGCUGCUAUCCGCAGUGAGGAAGUGCAAUCUUCUUCAGAUGAGGAAAAUGAGACUAAUGAAGCAAACGAAGUUGUUGAAUCUUCAGUAUGAUCAUUUCCUCUAUUUGUAGUUCUGUACUUUUUCUGUAUUAAUACGCAUAAAUAUAAUGUGCGCUUUUGCUCGUGGCAAAUGACCUGGUGAACUGAAACAUUGUAUAUUCUUGAAUACUCACAGGAACCGGAGGAGAGUCCCCAACAAACUGGACGGAAAAGGGCAGCUCCUAGAGGUGGUAGAGGUAGGGGUAGAGGCGCUACUGCAAAAAGGGGUAGAAAAGCAGAUAUUUCAUCCAUCCAGAGCAUGCUGAUGAGCAAAGAUGAUGAUGACGAUGAUGAAGAUGACAGGCCGAAGAAACCUCCACCUCGGGUAAGUGAAUCACCUUGACAUUUUGUCAGUUUGACGGGUCUUCUUGUGGUUUGUCAUUAAAUUGUUUGCAUUGUGUUGUGUACACGCACUGAUACUACAAACCGUUGGUUUUACGACCUACAAACUGUUUUUUUUUUAGAAUACGACCUACAAACUGUUGGUUUUACGACUUUGUGUUACUCUGCAGGUCACUAGGAACUACGGAGCUGUUAGGAGGAGAUGACCUCUUGUUAGUCUAAGUCUGCCUGGCAAAUUAAGUUUCCAAUGAACUACUGGAACGCCAACUCGCGUGAUUUGUACAUUCCUUAGCCUCAUGGAUUUACGUGCUUGUAGCUGCUAAAUGCUGGAUGUCAGUUUGUACAUUGGCAACAUGACAUUCAUGCGGGCACAAGGGAUUCUCAUCAUCAAUAGUAGGUGUUCUUCAGAGACUAGAAUAUACGUUUUCAUGAUUCAGGCGUACCUGACCGAGCGUCCGAAAGUUGUUCACGACAUAACACUCUGCGUUGGCCAAACCAAUACUAAUUGAUCAUGCAAAAGUCGUAAACUGGAUACAUACGGAGAAUGGUUUAUGCGUGCAUAUAACUAUACAAAAAUCUGCGAGCCGAACUGCCAAAGGUUCCCUGGAACCUAUAGGUCACGCACUCGCGCAUAUCUACUUAAACUACUUUUCUUGGUACCAUGUCCAGUGUUCGCUUAUCGCCACAAAUUAGCUGCCUUGCUAGAUAUGCCAAAUGCUCGUCUGUGGAUUCAUAUAGUUUGGUGGAGGAGCUCCGUAAGGAGGCCUGGGGACUGGAGCUGAGUACUGUGAUCCAGAGUUGUGCACAUCUGUUGUCAGUCAAAGAAAGAUGUGUUAGUUUUACUUCAAUGUUAGCACACUGUCAGUCAAAGAAAGAUCUGUAGUUUUACUUCACGGGUAGCAACAUAAUCUCUAAUUCCAAGUAGCCAAUUAAUAGGUCAAAGAACCCUAUGAUGAUGAGUGCUAAUGUACUCAAAUGUGCUAUAAAAGUUUCUAGUUACAGAGCUUAUUUUUCUCACUUCGUAAUUUUAAGAGUUUGUAUAGUGAAUCUGUAAUCCACCAAGUUGAAUUAGCUUGUAACAAAAUGAACUGAAAAGAAAGAGCCUGAGCUAGCCACUUACCGUGAGAAUGCUGCAUAUAGGGCAUGUAAUUGCCACUGCCAGAAUUGUACACGGCAGGAUGUGUAUUGAUAGGCCUUCCAACAGAAUUUGCCGCUUCAUAGCCAGAUCUCCCAUAGGCUUCAUUUGACACAACUGCAUAGGACUGGUUCCUGUCACCAAUGGGAGCUUGAAUUCUUUGUUGCAUAUCGGUGUUCAUGCUGUAAGGAUUAGGAUUGUAUGGACCUGGGCCACCAUUGGAAUCAUAUACGCUAUUUCCAUGACCGGGAAAUGGGGUAUUUGGAUAUGUUGAAUGGCUUUGGUAUUGGUUUGGGGUACUGGGGUAGUUCAGAUGAAUUUGAUGUUGGGUUGGGUUACUUGGGUAGCUCGAGUGAAUUUGAUCUUGAUAAGGGGUACUUGGGUAGCUUGUCGAUUGGGCUUGAUGUUGGUAUGGGGUGCUUGGAUGGUUUGAUUGGAUUUGUUGAUGUUGGUAUGGGGUAUUUGGGUAGCUGCUUAAGUGGACUUGAUGGUGGUUAAUCCCUGCUGGACUCUGGAAACCCUGAACACCCCAUGCUGCCUGUUGGUGUGUCAAGGCCCUUGGUGUCUGCACACCACUUCCAUAUGGACUGUCCAUUUGUCGGUGAUAACCUGGUGACAGAGAUGGCAUUGUCCCAGCAAUAGUCCCACUAUAUGUUGAGCUCACCUGUAAGCAUCUACGUUAGGACUUGUACAUGAAUCAAAAGAUCAAGCUAACCCAUGAUGACAAAACAUAGGACCAAAUCCAUAAGCAGCAAUAAUGGUAACAUACAUUUUGGUUACUGAAAUUGGCAUAGCUGGGAGUUGAGGCUUUUGGCAGCAAACGUUUCAUCUCAUCCAGGUUUCUCUGGGCUUCAUCCCUGGAAAGCUCUACAAAGAUUACCUGCACAUGUUGAAAAGUGUAAUGAGCUAAGGAAAAACUUGAUAGUAACCAAAAGAUGGAGUACAGCAAUGCCAAGCAACCUCGUCAAAGGGCUCUUUAGAAUCAGGCAUGUCCUUGGACAGUGGUAAGACGAAAUUAGCUGAAAAUAGGUGUUUAUGGCAAUAUAGUAAGUAAUUGAUGCAUAGAACAUAGACAAUGAACAUUUCGAGAUAGCAGUGAUGGAUUUGGCUGGAUACCUGUCAUCUCAUUUACUGCAUCAGCUGGCACAUCCUUCCCCAUUUCCUUGAAACGCUUUGCUGCCCGGACCUUGAGUUCACUUGGCGAUGGGAACACAACCACAGCAGUCUGUUGCACAACAAGUAUAUGAAAUUAAACACCCCACAAACGCAUCCAACAUUGACAUUUAUUAAUUCAGCAACAACACGGCAAACUGUGAAACUGUUAUCCUUUCGCAGCUUACCUUACGGUAGUUUGCAAAUGGCCUUAGUUUGCGACUACGGGCAUUUUUGUAAACAUUAGUCUGAUCGAUGAUGUAGUUGCGAGGGAUCUUCGCAGCCCUGGUCAGCAAUGUGUUGAAAAUCAUUGUGGCACGAUCCAUCAAACGUUCAAAGCGUUCACCGUAGUUAUUCUUACGCAGCAAUCCUGGCACCUGCAAAAGGAAAGUCAUAAACUGAAAAUAGUGGAAAUCAUAGAGCAUGCAAGUUGUGAAACAAGCAUAGGAACCUUCAUUUGCACCAAUGCAAGAUUAGUCCCGAGAAGGAUAAAGCGCUUCUCCUUGUGCUCCUUGAUACACUUCUCUGCCCAUGUUGACUUCCCUGAAGCUGGGAGACCAACCAUCAUCAUGAUUUCACACUCUUUUUGUUCUGCAAACACAGGGCCAGAUACCGCAUUCCCAUCGACACAAGCUGAGGGCCAGAGCUCAUAACCAUCAACAAGCUGCAAUCCAUCCUCCUUGCUGAAUUGCAUCUCGACAACAACAUUCUUCAGCAACACAUGUGGAAAGAUUGCCGACU
rnacentral:lncRNA from 1 species